rnacentral:lncRNA from 1 species
CAUCAAAAAAGGUACAAAACGUUUGCGAUGAUGGAUGCAUCAAACACGGUUCAGAUUUUGGUUGCAUGUGCGAUGCAGGGCAUAUGGUUCAGUUAAAUUAACUGUUUGCGAUGAGGAGGAACAAAAGAAAUGGGCUGCCAGAUGAAUGUGUGUCGAUAUACAGCAUGCGCUUCACUCGGAUGAACUGUUUGUGAUUAAGCAACACAAAAAGAAACAAUCAGCCAGAUCAAGGUGUGUGCAAUAUACGCAUGCGUUUCACUCGGAUGAAUUGUUUGCGUUAAGACAAGAGAACAGAAACGGUUCAAUAUAACAAGAUGUGUGUGAUACGCGGCAAACAGGUCUGUAAUCAGAAAUAUGUGCAAAGACCGAUAAUAACAUAGACGAUUGCUUCUAAUAAGACGUAUGUGAUAUGCGUUUCACAAAAAGAAACAGUCAGCCAAAUCAAGGUGUGUGCAAUAUACGCAUGCGUUUCACUCGGAUGAAUUGUUUGCGUUGAGACAAGAGAACAGAAAUGGUUCAAUAUAACAAGAUGUGUGUGAUACGCGGCAAACAGGUCUGUAAUCAGAAAUGUGUGCAAAGACCGAUAAUAACACAGACAAUUGCUUCUAAUAAGACGUAUGUGAUAUGCUCAGUCUACACAACAUCUAUUGGCCACUGGGGGGCGGACGGUCAUCCGGAUACGCCAUAAGGAUGCGAAGAGGCAUCCUAUAUUAGCAAGGACUAGUUGUUCCACCAGUAGCUCAUGUAAGAGAACUCUCAAGUUAAGUGUGCUCGGGCUAAAUUAAAUGACUGACAUGACCCAUCCCAUGAGUUAAUUUAACCUCAAGGUCCUUGUUUUUAAUUUUAAUUUUAUUUUUAACACAUGUUAAAGAAGGUCUACCACAUUCCUUUUUGACAAUGUGUAUACGUGGCAUACAGUUGGUCCAUCCGAUCUGUUUGUGAUGGAAUAAGCUGUGUGUGUUGUGAGCAAACGCUUGCUAGUGUACAACCAUUUGCGAUUGAUGAAUUCAUCACCCACGGGUUCCCUAAUGUGGUUCAUGUUCAUCUCAUCAUCAUCUACUUCUUGUGCUAGCUCGAUGUUCCUUAUAUGCUAAGUUUCCAUUAACUGAUGGAGUUUUACGAACACGCCACCAUUUCCCGCCAUUUCCUCACCUGUUCCUGCCACCCAGCGAUAUUGCGCAUAAACCUAGGCGCGGCGUGACGCACGGAGGCAACAAGCACAUCUUGUAGAACAUCCACAUUUUCCAAGCAUGCCAACCCAUCAAAGCGCCGCCUCUGCCAUCAACCUCGUAGAUGAGGAAAACCAGAAGGCCCCAUGACCUGUCGAGGCCGCGGCGCUUCUUGGCAACGUGAUGGAUGACGCCGUGAUGUGCGUCAUCACCAGGGUUGAGCAGACCCUUGGUGCAUGGCGCUUCAGCACCGCGGAUCAAGAUAGGCAUGUCAGCACCGAGAACCUGCAGCUCGCCACACAACAUGAUCGAUGGCGCGCCGCAGAGCAAGCUAGGCGCGUUCGCGCCAAUAGGCUGUGGCUCGCCGCACGGGGAGACCGUUGAAGCACCGCAGAGCGAGAGGCGUGGCGUGCCGUACAGCAAGAGCGGAUCCAUCGGCGCUUGCCUGCUGUCGACAGGGUGUCGUAGCUGGGUACACAUCUCCUCAGUACCCCCAUUCCUCGCCAAGAGUGGGCACAGGCCCUCUGCACCGUACUUGCACCAAAGGCCGGCCGCUCCGUGCUUGCACCGGACGCCCGCCGCGUCGUUCGCAUGGGUCGCGUCGUUCGCCUUGUCCGCGACCCACUCGAUGCCAACGCGCUGGUCGGUAGGCUCGACCGCCUCCUUGGCCCAGGUGUCCACCUGGGCGCAGUAGACGAACAUGGCCAUCGCAUUCUUGAGGUGGUGAUCUCUGAUGAAAUAGCCAACUUGGAGCUCGAGAUCACGCUCCAGAUGUACCGCGAGCAUGUCGACUUCUUGGACGAACGCCUGCACAAGUUCAGGUAGAGCCAAGAGCUACCAUAGGCAAGGGCUGCUGGUCAUGGUCUCAUGGACGCGUUUUAUUUUGUUGAGUCAUUUCAACGUGGAUAGAUAUGUAUUCACAGCAAUCAUAGUAUUGCUCUGUUUGUUGCUCUAUUUCAAUGUGUGUACUCUGUUUUCCGUUCUUAUAUUUCCGUUAUGUAUAUGUGGAUACUAAAAUUAGUAUACAAAGACAGAUAGGAAAUGGAAUUCAUAAUAUAUAUAAUAUUAGUUGUUCAUCAGUUCAUCACAGAACAUAUAUAAUAUCAUAACAUAUACGUGAUGAUACUUAACUACUAGGUACAAUGCAUAAAAUUGAAAAUGAACAAUACUAGAACUAAUAAUCCCUCUAGGGGCCAGUAUUUCGGCAGCCCCUCGCUAGCAGCUCCCUGGUAUGCGGCGUCUUCCUAGCGCGGAGGCGGUCCUCUGCCUCCUCCGCCUUGCAGCGCUUGACGUACCAAUCUGCCUCUUGCAGGAGGACUAGCACGAACGAUCUUGCCAUUUCGUUUGGCGCCCACCGGAGCUCCUCGUCAGUAGCAUGUUGGAGCUUAUCGGCCCAGCUCACGCAGCGACGAGGCGCCUAGCGCCUUUGGCCAUCCUCGCGAAGUACACGUCUUCGUACACCUCCUCCGCACGACGACGCGCCCGCCCCCAAAGCUCCGCCGCCUCCCUUUUCCAGGCGGCAUCACGGGCUUCACAGGCCGCCUGGUACCUGGCAUCCUCCUCCACCAUCUCCUUCUUGAAAGCCACUUACCUGGCUUUCUCAGUCGGCGGCAGCGACUUCCAAAGAUAAAGAUCGUAUUGUCCCCAAAACCAAUCCAAAGUUGGGGAGUCCGGCACAACCUCGUCUGGCGGCGCGUAGGGAUCCUCAUCGCUGCUCUUCGAGUGAGGUCCUCAGGGGCGGCGACUCCUCGUCGGCGCAUGGACAGACCGGCGGCACCAUGGCAGAAAUUUGAGAGAGAGACAGAGGGAGAGAGAGAGGAUGAGCAAGGGGAGGAUGUAGAUGAGAAUGUGAUACGUCUCCAACGUGUCUAUUUUUUCUCACGCUUUUCCUCUUGUUUUGGACUCUAAUUUGCAUGAUUUGAAUGAAAGUAACCUCGGACUGACGUUGUUUUCAGCAGAACUACCAUGGUGUUGUUUUUGUGCAGAAAUAAAAGUUCUCGAAAUGGAACAAAACUUUGCGAGGAUUUUUUAUAUCAAUAAUAAGAAUUUCUGGAGCCAAGACCUGCCGGAGAGGGGCACCUGGGUGGGCACAACCCACCAGGGCAUUCCCCCCUCUCCUGGCGCGCCCAGGUGGGUUGUACCCACCUGGUGGCCCCACAAACGACUCCCUGAUACUAUAAAAUCACAUAUUUCCAGAAAAAAUUAGGGAGAUAGAGUUAUUGCAAUCCACGAGACAGAGCCGUCGCCAAGCCCCAUUCUUCCUCGAAAGGGAAGAUGUGGAGUCCGUUUGGGGCUCCAAAGAGGUUGAUCUUCGUUAUUCGUCAUCACCAACCCAUCUCCAUCGCCAAUUCCAUGAUGCUCCCCACUGGGAGUGAGUAAUUACUUCAUAGGCUCGCUGGUCGGUGAGGAGUUGGAUGAUAUUCAUCAUGUAAUCGAGUUAGCUUUGUUAGGGCAUGAUCCCUAGUAUCCACUAUGUUCUUAGAUUGAUGUUGCUAUGACUUUGCUAUGCUUAAUGCUUGUCACUUCGGGCCCAGGUGCCAUGAACUCAGAUCUGAACCGUUUAUGAAUUCAUCAUUAUAUCCAUGUUUUAGAUCCGAUCUUGCAAGUUAUAGUCACCUACUAUGGUUAUGAUCCGACAAACCCGGAGUGACAACAACCGAGCCCACUCUCGAGGAUGACCGUAGUUGAGGAGUUCAUGUAUUCACUAUGUGUUAAUGCUUUGUUCCGGUUCUCUAUUAAAAGGAGGCAUUAAUAUCCCUUAGUUUCCAAUAUCGACAUCACUGCCACGGGAGGGUAGAACAAAAGAUGUCACGCAAGUUCUUUUAAUAAAGCACGUAUGACUAUUUACGGAAUACAUGCCUACAUUAUAUCGAUGAACUGGAGCUAGUGCCGUAUCGCCAUAGGUUAUAACUGUCACAUGAUGAAUAUCAUCCAAUGAGUCACCGAUCCAAUGCCUAGGAAUUUAUCUUAUAUUCUUCUUUCUAAGUUACUACUAAUGCUACUGCCAUCGUUACUGCUACAAUAUCACUGCUAUCACUGUUACUGUUACCAUUACUACUACUGCUAUCAUCAAAACUAUCAUAUUCCUGUGCUACAGAUCACUUUGUUGAAGAUAAUUAAUCUCCAGGUGUGGUUGAAUUGACAACUCAGUUGCUAAUACCUUCAAUUAUUCUUUGGCUAUCCUUGUGUCGAAUCUAUAAAUUUGGGUUGAAUACUCUACCCUCGAAAACUGUUGCGAUCCCCUAUACUUGUGUGUUAUCAAGACCUUUUUCUGGCGCCGUUGCCGGGGAGCAUAGCUAUAUUUGUUAAUUCACUUGGGAUUAUUAUCAAUUUAUCACUAUGAAGAAUCUGAAGGAUCCAAAGACUAAGAUAUUUCCCUCAAGUACAAGGGGAGGUAAGAAACUAUCCAGUUCUGCUUUAGAUUCACCUUCUGUUAUGAGUAAACUUGCAACACCACCACCACAUGCUAUUAAUUGUGAUAUGUCGCAAGUUAUUGAUGAUGUUACUUCCACUAUGAAUAAUGCUUAUGAUGAUGCUAGUACCAUGCCCGAUAAUGAUGAUGUGCCACUUGGUGAAUUUCUUGAUGAACAAAUUGCUAGAGUAAUACAACAUGAUGUUGUUGAAUCUGAUGAUGAGCUUGAAACUGAAACUCCUGAAACACUUGCUAGAGCUAGCCCUCCUAGAUAUGAAUUGCCUAAGGUACCGGAAGGCUAUAUUAUGAGUGAAGAGGAAAUUAGAGAUAUUCUUGCUUGUAAGGAUAUAGAUGAUCUAGAGAAAUUAUACUAUGCAAGUAUAAAGAAAAAUCUUUGAAUGCUAGAAUGAAAUGUGAUCCUUAGUUUGCUACUUCGCCUAUCUUUAUUGAUGAUAAGGAUAACAAAUUCUCUGUCGACCUAGAGUUAAUUACUUUGGUUGAAUACGAUCCUUUCCAUGGUUAUGAAACUGAAACUGUUGUGGCACAUCUUACUAAGUCGAAUGAUAUAGCCACCCUUUUUACUCAUGAUGAGAAAACUCGAUACUACUUUAUUCUCAAAUUAUUUCCUUUCUCAUUAAAGGGUGAUGCUAAAUCUUGGUACAAUACUCUUGCUCCUGGUUGUGUGCGUAAUCCCCAAGAUAUGAUUUACUACUUCUCUGAAAAAUAUUUUCCUGCUCAUAAGAAACAAGUUGCCUUACAGGAAAUAUUUAACUUUGUUCAAACUAAAGAAGAGAGUCUCCCACAAGCUUGGGGGAGGCUUUGCCAGUUACUUAAUGCUUUGACUGAUCAUCCUCUUAAGAAAAAUGAAAUACUUGAUAUCUUCUAUAAUGGACUAACCGAUGCUUCUGUGGACUUCCUAGAUAGUAGUACUGGUUGUGUUUUCAGGGAACGAACUAUUGCUCAAGCUGAAGAAUUAUUGAAUAACAUAUUAAAAAAUUAUGAUGAUUGGACUAUUCCUGAACCAUCGCCUAAACCCACUCCGAAGAAGAGGGGUAUAUUAUAUCUCAGUCCUGAAGAUAUGCAAGAGGCAAAGAAAUCUAUGAAGGAAAAAUGUAUUAAAGUUGAGGAUGUUAAAAAUUUACCUCCUAUUGAAGAAAUACAUGGGCUUGAUACACCACCACUUCCUAAGGAGGUAGAGGUAAAUUCUCAUAUGAAGUUCAAUGAAAAUGAUAAUCCUCACAAUAUGCAUCCUAGCCAAUGCCUUUAUGAGUUUGAAAACUACAUUAGAAACCAAGACCACUUCAAUGCAAAUGUUAUGAAACAAUUGAAACAUAAUUCUGAUAUGCUUGCUCGCUUGAGUGACUUGUUAUUUAGAAUCUCAAAUGAUGUCAAAGGUGUUGGAAAACAUGCUUCUAUGGUUCAAACCUAGUUAGAACAAGUCGCUAAAUCACAAAGAGAAUUACUUGAUGAAAUGAAUCAUAAUAUACAUGACAUUGCUGUUAGAGUUGCAAAUAGAGGAGGUAAAAUGACUCAGGAACCACUUUAUCUUGAGGGACACCCAAAAAGAAUGUUACAAGAUUCGCAAAGAAAUAACAUAGUGCACCUAGUCCUUCUAAAAAGAAAAAGGAAAAUAAAAAUGAUAGGACUUUGCAUGCUUCUAGUGAACCUGAAAUAGACAAACCUCCUGAUAAUGAAAAUGAAACUUCUAUCUCUAAUGCUAAAACUCAAUCUGGUAAUGAACAUCCACCUAGUGAUAAUGAAAAAGAUAAUGAUGAGGUUCAUGAAAACGCUCAACCUAAUGAUAAAGAACCAGAUAAUGAUGUUGAGAUAGAACCACCUGUUGAUCUUAAUAACCCACAACCUAAGAAUAAAAGAUGUGAUAAAAAGAGACUUUGUUGCUAGAAAACACAGUAAAGAAAGAGAACUGUGGGUUCAAAAACCUAUGCCUUUUCCACCCAAGUCAACUAAGAAGAAUGAUGAUGAAGAAUUUGAACGCUUUGCUGAAAUGCUGAGGCCAAUCUUUUUGCGUACUCGUUUGACUGAUAUCCUUAAAAUGCCUCCUUAUGCAAAGUAAAUGAGAGAUAUCAUCACAAAUAAGAGAAAAAUACCGGAAGCUGGAAUCUCAACUAUGCUUCUAACUAUACUUUUAAUGAUGGAGUACCUAAAAAACUUGGAGAUCCGGGUAUACCAACUAUAGCUUGCUCUAUCAAAAGGAAUUAUGUGAAAACUGAUUCGUGUGAUUUAGGAGAUGGUGUUAGUGUUAUGCAUUUCUCUUUAUAUAAAAGACUUGACUUGAAUAAACUCACGCCUACUGAAAUAUCUUUGCAAAUGGCUGACAAACAACUGCCAUACCUAUCGGUAUCUGUGAGGAUGUGCCUGUUGUUGUUGCUAAUGUUACUAUUUUGACUGACUUUGUUAUACUUGAGAUGCCCUAGGAUGACAACAUGUCGAUUAUCCUUGGUAGACCCUUCUUGAAUACUGCAGGGGCUGUUAUUGGUUGCAAUAAAAGCAAGAUCACUUCUCAUAUUAAUGGUAAUGAGCAUACGGUGCACUUUCCGAAGAAACAAUUUCAAGUGAAUGGUAUUAAUGUUAUCGAAAAAUCUCCGACAAUCACUAUUGGAAGUUUUCAAAUACCUCUACCUACUGUCAAAAAGAAAUAUGAAAUGCUUAUUGUUGGGGAAAUGCAUAUCCCCAUUGAGGUAACUUAGUGAUUUACGAAAGUUCUUCGGUUUCAUGCUAAUCGAAAGUGCUUGUUAAUAAGACUUGAUCAACCUUAUUAAUGAAUCAUUUUUUAGCGGUAUGAAGUUGAUGAAUUUAGUAAGCACUACCUUCUGUCCUUACUUUUUGUUUCUUGUUUUUACUAGUUAAAUAAAAUAAAAUGUCAUGUUUUGUCUGUUUUCUGAAUUUCCCGUGCAAUAAAAAAAUGACCCAAAAAUAAAAGUUCUCAGAAUGCCCUGAAAGAUAAACAUGAAUUUUUCUGAAUACUACUGAAUUUUUGGUGCAAAUAAUACCAGAGGGAGGUGCACCAGGUGGGCACAACCCACCUGGGCGUGCCAGGACCCCCAGGCGCUCCCUGGUGGGUUCUGGUCCCCACUUGGGCCCCCUCACUUAUCUCUUUAGCCCACAUCAUCACUUACCUCCAGAAAAAAAAUUCUCCAUUGCUCUGUCUCUCCCGUGUUCUUGAGCUCAAACCCAUAGAUUUCAAUCUCUUUGCUCGAAGCUCCAUUUCCGAAACUAUUUCGGGGGAUUGUUGCUUGGUAUGUGACUCCACUGUUGUCCAAUUAGUUUUUGUUUUAGUGGUUUAUACUUUUAAUAAUUAGCUACUCUUGGUGCUACUGUAGAUGAGCUUACAUGUUGAAUUCUUAGUGUUCUAAGUAGUUUGAAUGCUUGCUAUGGCCUCUAUGUAUCCCUAUGAGUAGUUGCUACCAAUUUUGUGAAGUUUUGUUGUGAAAAUUUUGUGAACUAAAAAUUCAGAUUUUUGUUCCUAGGAAAAGUUGUACACGGACAUGAAUAUCUUCAGGAAGUUUGGCUCCAAGAAGAACUCAAGGGUGUUAUUGGGGAGUCUUCUGACAGUGAUCUCCACCCUCAUAGGUUAGCGGAAGUACGGUCGUGCGAAUGGCCACACACCCCAUUCCUACAAGAGGCUGGAAUUCUUGAGGAGUUCAUGCAAUAUAUUGCUAAUGCCGGCCUCACCGACUUCAUCAUAGAUGAGUGUGACCCGCACGAAAUCUUCACAGACAUCUUUGUUCAAAGUUUUACUUUCCUGCCUAGGAAUAAUCCUCCUGGAGUGAGUUUUGAUUUAUAUGCUGAAAACCAUCAGAUACCACUUACUGAAUUUUGUAACAUAUGCAUGAUCCCUUCUGAUGGGAGCUUGGCUGAGCCUAGGCCGGCCAAGUUUGAGGCCUUUAUCACACUUUGACGGUGGGUGAUGAGAGAGGAGUGACAGCCAUCACUGUCGCUGGCUUACAUUUUCCUGAUGUUCGUUACUUUGCACUUUUCAUUGCAAAAUGCUUGCUUGCUAGGGAGAAGGUGGGCGCACUUAGUUCACCAGACCUUGUUGUUUUACAUCGUGCAUUAGAGGGCAAUAACAAUUAUAGCUUGGCAGCUAUUGUGGCUCGUCGCCUCCAUCUUAAUAUAUCUCAGGGCAAAAUACAUGGUGGGAUUUAUGCUACUCGUUUGGCGGCUCACUUCGAGGUUGAGAUACGCCCUCAUGAUUACCCACUAACCAAAGUUUACCUCGACCGUGUAGCCAUGGAUCACCACCAUUUUACUGAUAUCGAAUCUCCUAACAUCCCUAUUCCGUAUAACCUGGUUUUUAGUGUAAGAACUCGUGAUAUUAUUUCGUUGCCUGCUCCUGCUUUGUUUGAUUCUGUUGCCAGGGUAGAUAUAGGAUUAUGCCUGCAGACAUCAUCGCCUACCGGAACGCUUAGGUUGCUGCAGAGGCAGCAUAGGAGGAGCCUCAGCAGUGGGAUGAGUGGAUGCCCGCUCCUCAGCACUCCUACUACCCUCCAGGCCACUAAUCGACUACCAAGUUAGGCCAAAAGCCUAAGCUUGGGGGAGUACGUGUUUCUCACCGGCAUUAUAUUCAUGUUCAUGCGUAUCAUUCCACUUGUCGGUGUUCACACUAUUUCAUUGUAUCAUCCAUGCUUAGAUUUAUUUUCUUGCUUUCUUCUUGUGUGUUUGAAGAUUUUCAAAAAAACCAAAGAAAUUAGUUGUAGUAAUUUACUUUCUAUGCAUGCUUAGUAGUAGUAUUAAAAAGAAAAUCCAAAAAGAUUUCCUUGUUCUUCUUUUGCUUGUUGGGAGCUUUCCCAUGUAAAUAGUUUUUCUCGUUUUUGCUUUUCCCUUUUAUUUUCCCGUUCUAGAAAAUCAAAAACUCCAAAAAUAUUUUAGUGUGUUUCUCGGAACUUCUUUUCUUUUUAUUCGAGUCUUACUAAGGAGAAGACCACGAUGAAAAUGUUGAGUGGCUCUCAUAUGAAUAAUUGUUGAACUAAUAAGAGCACAUUUUGCCUUGUCUUCUCCUGUUGAAUAAAAUGUCUUGCAGAUUCCAGCUUAGUCCAUGACACUCUUCCACAAUUAUUGUUUUCAUAUCAUUCGGUCGUGCAAGUGAAAAGCAAUAAUGACAAUAUUCGAUGAACUGGCCGUGGCAAAGAGAAACUGGUAUGAACUCGACUUGUUAUGUUUGUGUAAAUAUGUUUAACCUAGUAUCCAUGAUUCAGCCCAUUAUGAUUAAACAUGUUUGCAACGACAAUUAGAGAUUAUAGUUUCUCAUGCCAUGCAGAAGUAGCUGGGAGCCGAUAAUUAUUAAUCUUGGAUAUCAACAUAGCGUUAAAAUGAUUGUGAUGUAGUAUGAUGAUAUGGUAUCCUCCUCUGAUUGUUUGAGUGGCUUGACUUGGCACAUGUUCAUGCAUGUAGUUGAAUCAAAACCAACAUAGCCUCUAUGAUAUUUAUGUUCAUGGUGUCCAUAUCCUACUCAUGCUAGUGUCCAAUGUUACUUAUGCAUAAUGCAUGGUUAUGAUCGUUGUUGCUCUCUAGCUGGCCGCUUCUCAAUCUAAAUUGCUAGCCUUCGCCUGUACUAAGUGGGAACUCUGCUUGUACAUCAAAAACCUUGAACCCAAAGUUAUUCUAGAUGAGUACACCAUACCUACCUAUAUGCAGUAUUAACCUUCCGUCCUAAGUAAAUUUGCAUGUGUCACCUCUAAAAACUUCUAAAAUUUAUCCUUUUUGUGUGCCUGGAUCGUAUGUGGAACGACAGGAGGUGGUCGGUAUCUUCCAUGCUAAGAGGCUUAUUCUCAGGUCGAGUGUUUAUUCACUAGCCAUCACAUGAGGAAAUGGGUGGUAAUAGGGAUGCCCAGUCCCAAACUGCAAACAUAAAAAAGAGUUCAUCUCUGAAAUAAUCAAACAAAAACUCCCAAUGGAGUCAAAACCUUUACUUUUACCGCUUGGGAACCGCCACUAGCGUGCUUAGCAUGGAAGAUGUUGAUAACUGAUGGUCGUGAAGUGAAUAAGAAGGGUGCAUGUCUCAAAAUAUUAUUUAUCUCUGUUUGGAAAAUUGAUCUCUGGCACCUCUGCAAAUCACUUCUUCCCUCCGCGAAGGGACUAUCUAUUUACUUUUAUGUUGUGUCACCACCUUCUAAAACAAGCACCAGAAACUGAGUAGAGCACAGCUGUCAUGAUUUAUGCAUUAUGUGUAGCUAAUGUUGGGUGCAUCAUGACUGGGUCUUUUCUACCAUGAAUUACAAUGUUUAGUCGUUGGUUGAACUUUGGAGGUGCUCUGCAUUUAUGUUUUGCGGUCUCAGAAAGGGCUAGCGAGAUACCAUUAUUGUCAUAUUAUAUCAUGGUUGUUUUGACAACGUGUUGCUGGUUGAGAUAUUUUAUUAUUGCUCGCUAGCUGAUUAUGUCAUUGAUAUGAGUCAUUAUAAUCUUUAAAUGUUAUUGUUGACAUUGUUAGUUAUAAUGUUGGCUGAAAACUAGGGUGUUAUUUAAGCUUAUUUAUGCAAACAAGAGCAAAAGAUUUCAUAAAAAAAAUUCUUUCUCACUUUCAGUUUAUCAACUGAAUUGCUUGAGGACAAGCAAAGGUUUAAGCUUGGGGGAGUUGAUACGUCUCCAACGUUUCUACUUUUGCGCACGCUCUUCAUCUUGUUUUGGACUCUAAUUUGCAUGAUUUGAAUGAAAUUAACCUCGGACUGACGCUGUUUUCAGCAGAACUACCAUGGUGUUCUUUUUGUCCAGAAAUAAAAGUUCUCGGAAUGGAACGAAACUUUGCGAGGAUUUUUUAUAUCAAUAAUAAGAAAUUCUAGAGACAAGACAUGCCGAAGAGGGGCACUUGGGUGGGCACAACCCACCAGGGAGAGCUCCCCUCUCCUAGAGCACCCAGGUGGGUUGUACCCACCUGGUGGCCCCGCAGACGACCCCCCUGAUACUAUAAAAUCACAUAUUUCUAGAAAAAAAAUGAGAGAUAAAGAAUUAUCACGAUACACGAGAUGGAGCCGCCGCUAAGCCCUGUUCUUCCUCGGGCAGGAAGAUCUGGAGUCCGUUUGAGGCUCCAGAGAGGGGGGUCUUCGUUCUUCGUCAUCACCAACUCAUCUACAUCGCCAAUUCCAUGAUGCUCCCCACUGGGAGUGAGUAAUUCCUACGUAGGCUCACUGGUCGGUGCGGAGUUGGAUGAGAUUCACCAUGUAAUCGAGUUAGUUUUGUUAGGGCAUGAUCCCUAGUAUCCACUAUGUUCUUAGAUUGAUGUUGCUAUGACUUUGCUAUGCUUAAUGCUUGUCACUUUGGGCCCCGGUGCCAUGAACCCAGAUCUGAACUGUUUAUGAAUUCAUCAUUAUAUCCAUGUUUUAGAUCCGAUCUUGCAAGUUAUAGUCACCUACAACGGUUAUGAUCCGACAACCCCAGAGUGACAACAACCGGGCCCACUCUCGGUGAUGACCGUAGUUUGAGGAGUUCAUGUAUUCACUAUGUGUUAAUGCUUUGUUCCAGUUCUCUAUUAAAAGGAGGCCUUAAUAUCCCUUAGUUUCAAAUAUGGACACCGCUGCCACGGGAGGGUAGGACAAAAGAUGCCAUGCAAGUUCUUUUAAUAAAGCACGUAUGACUAUUUACGGAAUACAUGCCUACAUUAUAUCGAUGAACUGGAGCUAGUGUCGUAUCGCCAUAGGUUAUAACUAUCACAUGAUGAAUAUCAUCCAACAAGUCACGGAUCCAAUGCCUAUGAAUUUAUCUUAUAUUCUUCUUGCUAAGUUACUAUUGUUAGUACUGCCAUCGUUACUGCUACAAUAUCACUGCUAUCACUAUUACUGUUAUUGUUACUACUACUACUAUCAUCAAAAUUAUCAUAUUCCUGUCCUACAGAUCACUUUGCUGCAGAUAAUUAAUCUCCAGGUGUGGUUGAAUUGACAACUCAGCUGCAAAUACCUUCAAAUAUUCUUUGGCUCUCCUUGUGUUGAAUCUAUAAAUUUGGGUUGAAUACUCUACCCUCGAAAACUGUUGCGAUCCCCUAUACUUGUGGGUUAUCAGAAUGCAGGUAGGACAACGUGAGCAAGAAAGUAUUUAUUGGCGGCCGGAAUCUAGAUCGACAGGAACAGUACACACGCUGGUCGCUAGAAUUUACGAGUACUGUAAUUUGAAUUACACACGAUUCCUGCAGCAAAAUCCGUGUGUGAACAUAAUAGCUGACGGUUUCCAAUGCAGAACCGUGUCUGAUUAUUAACGCCCACCACUCACCUUCCAAACCUCGAGGCACAAAAUAUAGUGCCAAUCGUGUGGGGACCGGUUGCCUUGCCAGAUUUUACAUUUUCUUUUUUGAACACCCGAUAUUUACAUCGUCUGAUGAUUUUUUAACUCGCACACAAGUACACAAAUAUGAUUUUUCAAACCGUUAUGGUUAGCCGUUGCAUGUAGAUGUAGUUCAAAUUUGAAUUACGGUCAUUGAAUGGCUAGAAAAUCACUUAAAUAUCUUCAAAAGGCAAAUGACCCCUGAAAUUUUCCAAAUUUUCACAUGACAGUUGUAUUAGUGCAUGUUACACAUAGAAAAAAAGUGCAUUGUUCCCUCUCGGAACAACGAGCCUUCUAGUGAGUUGCCCCGGUUUGUGAGGGGUGUGUGUGUCCAAACUUCCGUCAAAUAGGUCAAUUUUUUUACCACAUCAUCUACCUAGCGUGACAUUACAUCAAGCAAGGUUUCAUGUUUUUUUGAUCUUUUUUAAUUUUUUUUGAAACUAAAAUGCCAUGGCACUCCAUGAACGUGUCCAUGUCGUGAGACCAAUUUUGAAAAUUCCUUCUAAUUUACUGCGCAUAAAAUUAACUAGCACACAAGUACACAAAUAUGAUUCUUCAAACCGUUAUGGUUAGCCAUUGGAUGUAGAUGUAGUUCAAAUUUAACUUAAGGUCAUUAAAUGGCUAGAAAAUCACUUAAAUGACUUCAAAUGGCAAAAUGACCACUGAAAUUUUCCAAAUUUUCACAUGACAGUUGUAUUAGUGCACGUUACACCUAGAAAAAAAUUGAAGGCUGUAAGAGGAAGUUAUCUCCCAUUGGUCAUCAGACAUGCAUUGUUCCCUCUCGAAACAACGAGCCUUCUAGUGAGUUGCUCCGGUUUGUGAGGGGUGUGUCCAAACUUUUGUCAAAGUAGGCCAAUUUUUCUACCACAUCAACUUGGUGGCAUGAUAUUACAUCAAGCAAGGUUUCAUGUUUUUUAUCAUUUUUUAAUUUUUUGGAAUUAAAAUGCCAUGGCACUCCAUGCAUGUGUCCAUGCCAGGAGACCAAUAUGUUUGAAAAUUCCUUCUAAUUUACUGCACCUGGAAUUAACUCGCACACAAGUACACAAAUAUUAUUUUUCAAACCAUUAUGGUUAGCCGUUGCAUGUAGAUGUGGUUCAAAUUUGAAUUACGGUCAUUAAAUGGCUAGAGAAUCACUUAAAUGUCUUCAAAAGGUCAACUGACCCAUGCAAUUUUCCAAAUUUUCACAUGACAGUUGUAUUAGUGCAUGUUACACGUAGAAAAAAUUUAAAGGCCGUAAGAGGAAGCUAUCUCCCGUUCGUCGUCAAACAUGCAUUGUUCCCUCUCGGAAUCACGAGCCUUCUAGUGAGUUGCUCCAGUUUGUGAGGGGUGCGUGUGUGUUCAAACUUUCGUCAAACAGGCCAAUUUUUGACCACAUCAUCUUGGUGGCAUGACAUUACAUCAAGCAAGGUUGCAUGUUUUUCUUAUCAUUUUUAAAUUUUUUGGUAUUAAAAUGCCAUGGCACUCCAUGAACGUGUCCAUGUCAUGAGAACAAUAUGUUUGAAAAUUCCUUCUAAUUUACUACACAUGGAAUUAACUCACACACAAGUACACAAAUAUGAUUUUCCAAACCGCUAUGGUUAGCCAUUGCAUGUAGAUGUAGUUCAAAUUUGAAUUACGGUCACUAGAUGGCUAGAAAAUCACUUAAAUGUUUUCAAAAGGUCAAAUGACCCCUGAAUUUUUUCAAAUUUUUACAUGAUAGUUGUAUUAUUGCACGUUACACGUAGAGAACUUUUGAAGGCCGUAGGAGGAAGCUAUCUUCCGUUCGUCAUCAAACAUGCAUUGUUCCCUCUCGGAACCACGAGCCUUCUAGUGAGUUGCUCCGGUUUGUGAGGGGUGUGUUUCCAAAAUUUCAUCAAAUGGGCUAAUUUUUUUACCACAUCAACUUGGUGGCAUGACAUUACAUCAAGCAAGGUUUCAUGUUUUUUUGAUCAUUUUUUUAUUUUUUGGAACUAUAAUGCCAUGGCACUCCAUGCAUGUGUCCAUGCCUGAGACCAAUAUGUUUGAAAAAUCCUUCUAAUUUACUGCACAUGGAAUUAAAUCACACAAAAGUUCACAAAUAUGUUUUUUCAAACCGUUAUGGUUAGCCGUUGCAUGUAGAUGUAGUUCAAAUUUGAAUUACGGUCAUUAAAUGGCUAGAAAAUCACUUAAAUGUCUUCAAAAGGUCCAAUGACCCCUGAAAUUUUCCAAAUUGUCACAUGCCAGUUGUAUUAGUGCAUGUUACACGUAGAAAAAAUUUGAAGGUCGUAACAAGAAGCUAUCUCCCGUUGGUCAUCAAACAUGCAUUGUUCCCUAUAGGAACCAGGAGCCUUCUAAUGAGUUGCUCCGGUUUGUGAGGGGUGUGUGUCCAAACUUUUGUCAAAUAGGCCAAUUUUUUACCACAUCAACUUGGUGGCAUGACAUUGCAUCAAGCAAGGUUUCAUGUUUUUCUGAUCAUUUACUAUUUUUUUGCAAUUAAAAUGCCAUGGUACUCCAUGCAUGUGUCCAUGCUGUGAGACCAAUAUGUUUGGAAAUUCCUUCAAUUUACUGCACAUGGACUUAACUCGCACACAAGUACACAAAUGUGAUUUUCCAAACCGUUAUGGUUAGCCGUUGCAUGUAGAUGUAGUUCAAAUUUGAAAUAUGGUCAUUAAAUGGCUAGAAAAUCACUUAAAUAUCUUCAAAAGGACAAAUGCCCCCUGAAAUUUUUCAAAUUUUCACAUGAUAGUUGUAUUAAUGCAUGUUACACAUAGAAAAAUUAUGAAGGCUGUAAGAGGAAGCUAUCUCCGUUGGUCACCAAACAUGCUUUGUUCCCUCUGAGAACCACGAGCCUUCUUGUGAGUUGCUCCGGUUUGUGAGGGGUGUGUGUCCAAACUUUUGUCAAACAGGCCAAUUUUUUUACCACAUCAUCUCAGUGGCAUGACAUUACAUCAAGCAAGGUAUCAUGUUUUUCUGAUCAUUUUUUAAUUUUUUGGAAUUAAAAUGCCAUGGCACUCCAUGCAUGUGUCCAUGCCGUGAGACCAAUAUGUUUGAAAAUUACUUCUAAUUUAGUGCACAUGGAAUUAACUCGCACACAAGUACACAAAUACGAUUUUUCAAACCAUUAUGGUUAGACGUUGCAUGUAGAUGUGGUUCAAAUUUGAAUUACGUUCAUUAAAUGGCUAGAAAAUCACUUAAUUGUCUUCAAAAGGUUAAUUGACCCCUGAAAUUUUCCAAAUUUUUACAUGAGAGUUGUAUUAGUGCACGUUACACAUAGAUAAAAUUUAAAGGCCGUAAGAGGAAGCUAUCUCCCGUUCGUCAUCAAACAUGCAUUGUUCCCUCUCAGAAUCACGAGCCUUCAACUGAGUUGCUCCGGUUUGUCAGGGAUGCGUGUGUUUUCAAACUUUCGUCAAACAUGCCAAUUUUUUACCACAUCAUCUUGGUGGCAUGACAUUACAUCAAGCAAGGUUGCAUGUUUUUCUUAUCAUUUUUUAUUUUUUUUGGUAUUAAAAUGCCAUGGCACUCCAUGAACGUGUCCAUGUCGUGAGACCAAUAUGUUUGAAAAUUCCUUCUAAUUUACUACACAUGAAAAUAACUCGCACACAAGUACAAAAAUAUGUUUUUUCAAACCGUUAUGGUUAGCCAUUGCAUAUAGAUGUAGUUCAAAUUUGAAUUACGGUCAUUAAAUGGCUAGAAAAUCCCUUAAAUGUUUUCAAAAGGUCAAAUGACCCUUGAAUAUUUUCAAAUUUUCACAUGAUAGUUGUAUUAGUGCACGUUACACGUAGAAAACUUUUGAAGGCCAUAAGAGGAAGCUAUCUCCCGUUCGUCAUCAAACAUGCAUUGUUCCCUCUCGGAACGACGAGCCUUCUAGUGAGUUGCUCCGGUUUGUGAGGGGUGUGUGUCCAAAAUUUCAUUAAACAGGCCAAUUUUUUCUACCACAUCAACUUGGUGGCAUGACAUUACAUAAAGCAAGGUUACAUGUUUUUCUAAUCGUUUUUUAAUUUUUUGAAACUAAAAUGCCAUGGCACUCCAUGCAUGUGUCCAUACCGUGAGACCAAUAUGUUUGAAAAUUCCUUCUAAUUUACUGCACAUGGAAUUAACUCGCACACAAGUGAAAAAAUAUGUUUUUUCAAACCGUUAUGGUUAGCCGUUGCAUGUAGAUGUAGUUCAAAUUUAAAUUACAGUCAUUAAAUGGCUAGAAAAUCACUUAAAUGUCUUCAAAAGGUCCAAUGACCCGUGAAAUUUUCCAAAUUUUCACAUCACAGUUGUAUUAGUGCAUGUUACACGUAGAAAAAAUUUGAAGGCCGUAAUAGGAAGCUAUCUCCUGUUGGUCAUGAAACAUGCAUUGUUCCCUCUCGGAACCAGGAGCCUUCUAGUGAGUAGCUCCGGUUUGUGAGGGGUGUGUGUCCAAACUUUUGUCAAACAAGCUAAUUUUUUACCACGUCAACUUGGUGGCAUGACAUUCCAUCAAGCAAGGUUUCAUGUUUUUCUGAUGAUUUACUAAUUUUUUGCAAUUAAAAUGCCAUGGUACUCCAUGCAUGUGUCCAUGCUGUGAGACCAAUAUGUUUGGAAAUUCCUUCCAAUUUACUGCACAUGGACUUAACUCGCACACAAGUACACAAAUAUGAUUUUUCAAACCGUUAUGGUUAGCCGUUGCAUGUAGAUGUAGUUCAAAUUUGAAUUAUGGUCAUUAAAUGGCUAGAAAAUCACUUAAAUAUCUUCAAAAGGUCAAAUGCCCCCUGAAAUUUUUCAAAUUUUCACAUGACAAUUGUAUUAGUGCAUGUUACACGUAGAAAAAUUAUGAAGGCUGUAAGAGGAAGCUAUCUCCGUUGGUCACCAAACAUGCUUUGUUCCCUCUGAAAACCACGAGCCUUCUUGUGAGUUGCUCCGGUUUGUGAGGCGUGUGUGUCCAAACUUUUGUCAAACAGGCCAAUUUUUUUACCACAUCAUCUUGGUGGCAUGACAUUACAUCAAGCAAGGUUUCAUGUUUUUCUGAUCAUUUUUUAAUUUUUUGGAAUUAAAAUGCCAUGGCACUCCAUGCAUGUGUCCAUGUCGUGAGACCAAUAUGUUUGAAAAUUCCUUCUAAUUUACUGCACAUGGAACUAACUCGCACACAAGUACACAAAUAUGAUUUUUCAAACCAUUAUGGUUAGCCGUUGCAUGUAGAUGUAGUUAAAAUUUAAAUUACGGUCAUUAAAUGGCUAGAAAAUCAAUUAAAUGUCUUCAAAGGUAAUAUGAAACCUGAAAUUUGUCAAAUUUUCACAUGAUAGUUGUAUUAGUGAACGUUACACGUAGAAAAAAAUUGAAGGCCGUAAGAGGAAGCUAUAUUCCGUUCGUCAUCAAACAUGCAUUGUUCCCUCUCGGAACCACGAGCCUUCUACUGAGUUGCUUCGGUUUGUGAGGGUGUGUGUCCAAACUUUCGUCAAACAGGCCAAUUUUUUAACCACAUCAACUUGGUGGCAUGACAUUACCUCAAGCAAGGUUUCAUGUUUUUCGAAUCAUUUUUAAUUUUUUUGGAAUUAAAAUGCCGUGGCACUCCAUGCAUGUGUCCCUGCCGUGAGACAAAUAUGUUUGAAAAUUUGUUCUAAUUUACUGCACAUGGAAUUAACUCGCACACAAGUACAGAAAUAUGAUUUUUCAAACCAUGGUUAGCCAUUGCAAGUAGAUGUAGUUCAAAUUUGAAUUACGGUAAUUGAAUGGCUAGAAAAUCACUUAAAUGUCUUCAAAAGGUCAAAUGACCCUGAAAUUUUCCAAAUUUUCACAUGACAGUUGUAUUAGUGCAUGUUACAUGUAGAUAAUUUUUAAAGGCCGUAAGAGGAAGCUAUCUCCUUUUCGUCAUCAAACAUGCAUUGUUCCCUCUCGGAACCACGAGCCUUCUAGUGAGUUGCUCUGGUUUGCUAGGGGUGUGUGUGUCCAAACGUUCGUCAAACAUGCCAAUUUUUUACCACAUCAUCUUGGUGGCAUGACAUUACAUCAAGCAAGGUUCCAUGUUUUUCGGAUCAGUUUUUAAUUUUUUGAAAUUAAAAUGUCAUGGCACUCCAUGAACGUGUCCAUGCCGUGAGACCAAUAUGUUUGAAAAUUCCUCUAAUUUAGUGCACAUAAAAUUAACUCGCACACUAGUACACAAAUAUGAUUUUUCAAAACAUUAUGGUUAGUCGUUGUAUGUUGAUGUAGUUCAAAUUUGUAUUACGGUCAUUAAAUGGCUAGAAAAUCACUUAAAUGACUUCAAAUGGCAAAAUGACCACUGAAAUUUUCCAAAUUUUCACAUGAUAGUUGUAUUAGUGCACGUUACACAUAGAAAAAAUUGAAGGCUGUAAGAGGAAGUUAUCUCCCGUUCGUCAUCAAACAUGCAUUGUUCCCUCUCGAAACAACGAGCCUUCUAGUGAGUUGCUCCGGUUUGUGAGGGGUGUGUGUCCAAACUUUCAUCAAACAGGCCAAUUUUUUUACCACAUCAACUUCGUGGCAUGACAUUACAUCAAGCAAGGUUUCAUGUUUUUCUGAUCGUUUUUUAAUUUUUUUUUUGGAACUAAAAUGCCAUGGCACUCCAUGCAUGUGUCGAUGCCGUGAGACCAAUAUGUUUGAAAAUUCCUUCUAAUUUACUACACAUGGAAUUAACUCGCACACAAGUACACAAAUAUGUUUUUUCAAACCAUUAUGGUUAGCCGUUCCAUGUAGAUGUAGUUCAAAUUUGAAUUACGGUCAUUAAAUGGCUAGAAAAUCACUUAAAUGUCUUCAAAAGGUCCAAUGACCCCUGAAAUUUUCCUUCACAUGAUAGUUGUAUUAGUGCACGUUACACGUAGAAAACUUUUGAAGGUCGUAACAGGAAGCUAUCUCCCGUUGGUCAUCAAACAUGCAUUGUUCCCUCUCGGAACCAGGAGCUGAUGUCUACUAUGAAGCCUUCUUCUUCUAGACGUUGUUGGGCCUCCAAGUGCAGAGGUUUGUAGGAAAGUAGCAAAUUUCCCUCAAGUGGAUGACCUAAGGUUUAUCAAUCUGUGGGAGGCGUAGGAUGAAGAUGGUCUCUCUCAAACAACCCUGCAACCAAAUAACAAAGAGUCUCUUGUGUCCCCAACACACCCAAUACAAUGGUAAAUUGUAUAGGUGCACUAGUUCGGUGGAGUUGGUGAUACAAGUGCAAUAUGGAUGGUAGAUAUAGGUUUUUGUAAUCUGAAAAUAUAAAAACAGCAAGGUAACUUAUGAUAAAAGUGAGUGUAAACAGUAUUGCAAUGCUAGGAAACAAGGCCUAAGGUUCAUACUUUCACUAGUGCAAGUUCUCUCAACAAUAAUAACAUAACUGGAUCAUAUAACUAUCCCUCAACAUGCAACAAAGAGUCACUCCAAAGUCACUAAUAGCGGAGAACAAACGAAGAGAUUAUUGUAGGGUACUAAACCACCUCAAAGUUAUCCUUUCUGAUCGAUCUAUUCAAGAGUCCGUAGUAAAAUAACACGAAGCUAUUCUUUCCGUUCGGUCUAUCCCAGAGUUCGUACUAGAAUAACACCUUAAGACACAAAUCAACCAAAACCCUAAUGUCACCUAGAUACUCCAAUGUCACCUCAAGUAUCCGUGGGUAUGAUUAUACGAUAUGCAUCACACAAUCUCAGAUUCAUCUAUUCAACCAACACAAAGAACUUCAAGGGGUGCCCCAAAGUUUCUACCAGAGAAUCAAGACGAAAAUGUGUGCCAACCCCUAUGCAUAAGUUCACAAGGUCACUAAACCCACAAGUUGAUCAUCAAAACAUACAUCAAGUAGAUCACGUGAAUAUCCCAUUGUCACCACAAAUAAGCACGGCACGACAUACAUCAAUUGUUCUCAAAUCCUUAAAGACUCAAUCCGACAAGACAACUUCAAAGGGAAAACUCAAUUCAUCACAAGAGAGUAGAGGGGGAGAAACAUCAUAAGAUCCAACUAUAAUAGCAAAGCUUGUGAUACAUCAAGAUCGUGCCAAAUCAAGAACAUGAGAGAGAGAGAGAGAGAUCAAACACAUAGCAACUGGUACAUACCCUCAGCCCCGAGGGUGAACUACUCCCUCCUCGUCAUGGAGAGCACCGGGAUGAUGGAGAUGGCCACCGGUGAGGGAUCCCCCCUCCGGCAGGGUGCCGGAAUAGGGCCUCAGUUGGUUUUUGGUGGCUAUAGAGGCUUGCGACGGCGGAACUCCCAAUCGAUUAUGUUCCCUAAUGUUUUUAGGGUAUAUGCACAUAUAUAGGCGAAAGAAGUCGGUCAGGGGAGACACGAGGGGCCCACGAGGGUGGGGCGUGCCCAGGGGGUAGGGCGCGCCUCCCUGCCUCAUGGCCACCUCGAAGCUGCCCUGACGUCUACUCCAAGUCUCCUAUGUUGCACUACUAGGGAAAAGCCUAUACACAGAAACUUACCAGCAGUGCUGCUCAAAAUACAACGCUACUGCUACUUAGCAGUAACACAUGAUUGCAAAACUCGCUGCUGAAAGGAAAAUAGCAGUAGCGCGUCCUCCGCAAAACGUGCUACUGCUCUAAUUGCCAUGACCUCGCCCCCCGCUAGUUUUAGCAGCAGCGCCCUAUAAUGAACUGCUCUACUGCUAUUCAGAUUAGUUGUAGCGCAUUUCGGCAAACGCGUUACAACUAUCCCUAUCUUAUCCCCACGCACACGACCGACCCUCUCUCUCACUCACACUAUCACUCUCGCCCGCGUGCCCAUAACCGUCAUCGUGCGUCGCCCACCGCCGCCGCCUUCGUCCGUCUGCCGCCGAGGUACUCCCCUCCUUCCGUCCCUCCUCCCUCCUCCUUGCACAUCCUCCCUCCGCCUGCGGUCGCCCCUCCCUCCUCCGCCGCCGCCCUCCUCCCUCUGCCUGCGUCCGCCCCUCCUCCCUCCGCUGCCGGCAGCCCUCCUCCCACCGCGCUCGACCUCACCGCUGCCACCCGAGCCCACCCAGCACCGCCGCCUCUCGAUCCCUACCCCUCCCUCGCCGCCCCUAGCUACCUCUCCGUCGCCCCCCACCCCCUGCCACUAGUUAGUACUAGAAUUAGUAGUAGUAGAUGGUAAUUUAGGGUUCAUAGCUAGUACUAGAUGUUGCUUAGUUAGUACUAGAUUUUUAGUAGUAGUAGGUGUUAAUUUAGGGUUCACAUUAGUACUAGAUUUUUAGUAGUAGAUGUUAAUUACUAGUAGUGAUGGUACUAGUUAACUAGGGCAGUAUGAUUAAUAGUAGUUGUAGUUGAACUAGUUUACUAAGUAAAUUAAUAAACUAGUUGAACUAGUUGAAUUAAUAGAACUAAUGUAUUUUUAGUAAGAUAAUUAAUAUAACUAGUUGAACUACUUUAUUUUUAGAAAGAACUAGUUUUUUUAUAUUUAUAGUAAGUUUAUAUUUAGUAAGAACUAGUUGAAUUAAUAAAACUAGUUGAACAUGUCAUAUUUGUUGUUAUUUUUUUAGUUUAAGCAAUUAUUCGGGGUGUAUUAGUGAUAACUUAUACGGUUUCAGGUGACCACCGUCGUCCCCGUCACCGACCCCCUCCGACAUCCCCGCCGUCGUCCCAGUCACCGACCCCCUCCGACAUCAAGGUGAGACCAGCCAAAUAUCCUUGUAUAUAUUGUGUUGUUGCUCAAAUAGGAUAUGUGGUUGCCCAAGUGGCCGUUCAUGUUCAGUUUACAUCUCCGAGUGGCCUAUGUUUUGCCGGAGUGUUGAUUAAUUUCCGUUCUGGUAAAUUUCAGGCGCUCGAUAUGUCCUUUUUUAGCAAAGGUCAUGCUGGAUUUUUUCGUGAAUUCUGGCAUGACUUGUGCUAGAAUAUGUACACGUUUAAUCUUUGAAUUAUGAACGUAGGAAAUGUCGUACUCGGACGACGACGGUAUCCCGGGGGAGUGCAGCUGGUGCCACAACGAUCGAGGUAUGUGCGACAGGUUCGUUGAGCUGGACGAAGAUCGGCGCUUCAGCAUUAAGCUCGAGGAGACCUUCGAUGUUGAAACGGUACGCAACAACGACAGGUGUUUUUUUCGUAAUUAAGCAUGACUUCAACUAUUUCAACGUCUAAUUUUCAUAUUUUACAAUUUGACUAGCUUAUUCCAUGCCAUGCAAGACGCUUUGUCUUGGAGAGGAUGGGUUUUGAAGACCAUGAAAAUUUUUAAACAAAGAAAAUACACCUAAGGACCCAUCAUGAUAUGGAUUUUGAAGUAAAUCUGUGCAAUGCUCAGAGCGUAACCCAUUUUGGUUGCCAAAAUUGGAAAUCACUUUGCAAAAUGUAUGGUUUUUAUGAGGGUAUGAUUGUCACCAUGGAUCUUGGUGAUCCUGACAUCGAGCAAGACAAUAUGGACAUUUGGGUCCUUGUUGAUACGCUUCCGAUUGUACCGCUAUGUGAGUUUCUCAAACAUAGUUAUUAACUAAUUUAUAUUUAUUAUUUCAAAAUAGGUGAUAGCUUAUUUCCAUUGACAGCUUAUUUUGAUUCUUCAAAGACUGUGCGGAAGAUGGUAGAUAAAACCCACUACACCGAUGGCACCGAAUUAAUGUAUAAGGAGAAAAAUCAUCUGAUCGCAUUUUGUACUCUUCUUGAGAAUUACAAUAACUAUUAUCGAACUCCUCCAAAUUAUGGUGAAUACGUGCCACUAGUGCAUGUGUUGAACCACGGUAACUUCUCUAGAGAUACCCUGGUAAGAUUUUUUACUAUUACGACAUCCGUGCAUCUUCUGCAUACUUCUAAAACUAGUACAUCAUUGCUAACUACGAAGUUAUUAUUAUGUUUUUCAAUAGAAACUCCCUAUGGAUUGUGUGCCUCAUCUGAUGUCUCUGAAUGGUCGCCUCUCAGUUCUGAACAUACUGCCAGGUAAAUCUAGGGAGCUCACCUUUGCAUAUCGGAUUUCUAAAACCGGUGAACACAUGAUCAUCAAAGAAUGGAAGAAAUGUAUGGACAUUCGCAAGGAGGUUCUUGGAAGUAACAUUCAGCAAAAGGCAAGAAUUGGAGACAGGCUAAUCUCCAUUCUCCAUAAUGGAGAGUCAGGGGCUAUCUUGUUUUUUGCUAUAUUACCUUAGAAAAUGUAGUAGGUCUUAAUCGAAUGUAGUAGGUCCUAUGAGGUACAAUAUGUUUAUUAUGUGGUAAUGUGUUAGAGUUGAUAAUGAGGAGUACUUGUGAUUACGACUAGUGACCAAUUUGCUAUGUGAUGUCAUUGAUGAAAACGAUGAUCUUGAGGAGGUGUUAUAUGACAAUGAUGUAUUAUGAUGAUAAGUUGUUAAUGAUAUGAUGAUGAUGAUAUUAUUAUAUCAUUGGGUGAAAGAACCGCGGAUUAGUUUCAAGUGGAUGGCCAUCCACUUGAAACUAGUCCAUGGUUCUUUCACCCCGUGAUGUAAUAACUCAUUAUGAUGUAAAAACAAUCUCCAAAUUCCUAUUGUAUGAAAACUUGUGUAAAGGUGUAUGAAUACAACAUGAAAUAAAAAAGAAAUAAAAUACUAAAUAAUAGUAGUAGCGCGGGAAAGGGGAAGCGUUACUACUAAUUACCAGUAGCGCGGUUCUGAAGAACCGCUACUACUAAGUCAAUUUAGCAGUAGCGUGCAUCUAGGCGCGCUAUUGCUAAGGUUUAGCUGUAGCGCCUUAUCAGUAGCGCUCCUUCCCGCGCUACUGAUAGGCCUAAAACCCGCGCUGCUGCUAGGCUUUUCCCUAGUAGUGUUGCUUCCGUUCCAAAAAUAACUCUCCCGAAGGUUUCAUUCCAUUUGGACUCCGUUUGAUAUUCCUUUUCUUCAAAACACUGAAAUAGGCAAGAAAACAGCAAUUUGGGUUGGGCCUCCGGUUAACAGGUUAGUCCCAAAAAUCAUAUAAAAGUGUAAAGUAAAGCCCAUAAACAUCCAAAAUGGGUAAUAUAAUAGCAUGGAACAAUCAAAAAUUAUAGAUACGUUGGACACAUAUCAAGCAUCCCCAAGCUUAAUUCCUGCUCGUCCUCGAGUAGGUAAAUGAUAAAAACAGAAUUUUUGAUGUGGAAUGCUACCUAGCAUAUUUCUCAAUGUAAUUUUCUUUAUUGUGGCAUGAAUGCUUAGAUCCAAAUGAUUCAAGAUAAAAGUUCAUAAAACAUAAAAAUAGUAAUACUUCAAGCAUACUAACAAGUAAUCAUGUCUUAUCAAAAUAGCGUAGCCAAAGAAAGCUCAUCCCUACAAAAUCAUAUAGUUAGGCCAUGCUUCAUUUUCAUCACACAAAAUACUCCCAUCUGCACAACCCCGGUUUUAGCCUAGCAAUUGGUUCAUACUUUUUAACGCGCUUCAGCUUUUUCAAGUCUUACGCAAUACUUGAGUGCAAGCCAUGGACAUAGCACUAGAUGUGGAAUAGGGUGGUGGUUGUGAAGACAAAAAGGGAGAAGAUAGUCUCACAUCAACUAGGCGUAUCAACGGGCUAUGGAGAUGCCCAUUAAUAGAUAUCAAUGUGAGUGAGUAGGGAUUGCCUUGCAGCGGAUGCACUAGAGCUAUAAAUAUAUGAAAGCUCAAAAAAGAAACUAAGUGGGUGUGCAUCCAACUUGCUUGCUCACGAAGACCUAGGGCAUUUUAAGGAAGCCCGUCAUUGGAAUAUACAAGCCAACUUCUAUAAUGAAAAAUUCCCACUAGUAUAUGAAAGUGACAAACAUGCAUUGUUCCCUCUCGGAACCACGAGCCUUCUAGUGAGUUGCUCCGGUUUGUGAGGCGGGGUGUGUACAAACAUUCAUCAAACAGGCCAAUUUUUACCACAUCAUCUUGGGGCAUGAAAUUACAUCAAUCAAGGUUUGGUGUUUCUCCGAUCAUUUUUAAUUUUUUGGAAUUAAAAUGCCAUGGCACUCCAUGAACAUGUCCAUGCUGUGAGACCAAUAUGUUUAAAAAUUCCUUCUAAUUUAGUGCACAUAAAUUAACUCGACACAAGUACACAAAUAUGAUUUUUCAAACAGUUAUGGUUAGCCAUUGCAUGAAGAUGUGGUUCAACUUUGAAUUACGGUCAUUAAAUGGCUAGAAAAUCACUUAAAUGUCUUCAAAAGGUCAAAUGACCCCUGAAAUUUUCCAAAUUUUCACAUGACAGUUGUAUUAGUGCACGUUACACGUAGAAAAAAAAUUUAAAGGCCGUAAGAGGAAGCUAUCUCCUGUUGGUCAUCAAACAUGCAUUGUUCCCUCUCGGAACCACGAGCCUUCUAGUGAGUUGCUCCGGUUAGUGAGGGGUGUGUGUCCAAACUUUCUUCAAACAGGCCAAUAUUUUUACCACAUCAUCUUGGUCGCAUGACAUUGCAUCAAGCAAGGCUGCAUGUUUUUUUGAUCAUUUUUUAAUUUUUUGGAAUUAAAAUGCCAUGGUACUCCAUGCAUGUGUCCAUGCCGUGAGACCAAUAUGUUUGAAAAUUCCUUCUAAUUUAAUGCAAAUGGAAUUAACUCGCACACAAUUACACAAAUAUAAUUUUACAAACCGUUAUUUUUAGCCUUUGCAUGUAAAUGUAGUUCAAAUUUGAAUUACGGUCAUUAAAUGGCUAGAAAAUCACUUAAAUGACUACAAAAGGUCAAAUGACCUCUGAAAUUCUCCAAAUUUUCAUAUGACAGUUGUAUUAGUGCAUGUUACACGUUAAAAAAAAUUGAAGGCCGUAGGAAGCUAUCUCCCAUUCGCCAUCAAACAUGCAUUGUUCCCUCUCGAUACCACAAGCCUUCUAGUGAGUUGCUCCUGUUUGUGAGGGGUGUGUGUCCAAACUUUCGUCAAAGAGGACAAUUUUUUUACCACAUCAUCUUGGUGGCAUGACAUUACAUCAAGCAAGGUUUCAUGUUUUUCUGAUCAUUUUUUAAUAUUCUAGAAUUUAAAUGCCAUGACACUCCAUGCAUGUGUCCAUGCCGUGAGACCAAUAUGUUUGAAAAUUCCUUUUAAUUUGCUGCACAUGGAAUUAACUCGCACACAAGUACACAAAUAUGAUUUUUCAAACUGUUAUGGUUAGCCGUUGCAUGUACAUGUUGUUCUAAUUUGAAUUUUGAUCAUUAAAUGGCUAGAAAGUCACUUAAAUGUCUUCAAAAGGUCUACUGACCCCUGAAAUUUUCCAAAUUUUCACAUGACAGUUGUAUUAGUGCAUGUUACACGUAGAAAAAAUUUGAAGGCCGUAAGAGGAAGCUAUCUCCUGUUCGUCAUUAAACAUGCAAUGUUCCCUCUCGGAACCACAAGCCUUCUAGUGAGUUGCUUCGGUUUGUGAGGGGUGUGUCUCCAAACUUUCGUCAAACUGGACAAUUUUUUACCACAUCAUGUUGGUGGCAUGAAAUUACAUCAAGCAAAGUUUCAUGUGUUUUUGAUCUUUUUUUAAUAUUUUGGAAUUUAUAUGCCAUAAGACUCCAUGCAUGUGUCCAUGUCAUGAGACCAGUAUGUUUGAAAAUUCCUUUUAAUUUGUCGCACAAGGAAUUAACUCUCGGAACCAUAGGCCUUCUAGUGAGUUGCUCCGGUUUGUGAGGGGUGUGUCCAAACUUUUGUCAAAGCAGGCCAGUUUUUUUACCACAUCAACUUGGUGGCAUGAUAUUACAUCAAGCAAGGUUUCAUUUUUUUUAUCAUUUUUUAAUUUUUUGGAAUUAAAAUGCCAUGGCACUCCUUGCAUGUGUCCAUGCCAUGAGACCAAUAUGUUUGAAAAUUCCUUCUAAUUUACUGCACCUGGAAUUAACUCGCACACAAGUAGACAAAUAUGAUUUUUCAAACCGUUAUGGUUAGCCGUUGCAUGUACAUGUUGUUCUAAUUUGAAUUACGGUCAUUAAAUGGCUAGAAAAUCACUUAAAUGUCUUCAAAAGGUCAACUGACCCCUGAAAUUUUCCAAAUUUUCACAUGACAGUUGUAUUAGUGCACGUUACAAGUAGAAAAAAAUUGAAGGCCGUAAGAGGAAGCUAUCUCCCGUUCGUCAUCAAACAUGCAAUGUUCCCUCUCGGAACCACAAGCCUUCUAGUGAGUUGCUCCGGUUUGUGAGGGGAGUGUCUCCAAACUUUCGUCAAACAUGCCAAAUUGUUUACCAUAUCAUCUUGGUGGCAUGACAUUACAUCAAGCAAAGUUUCAUGUGUUUCUGAUCUUUUUUUAAUUUUUGGAAUUUAAAUGCCAUGGCACUCCAUGCUUAAUUGUGUCAUAGCCGUUAGACCAAUAUGUUUGAAAAUUCCUUCCAAUUUACUACACAUGGAAUUAAAUCGCACAAAAGUACACAAAAUAUGAGUUUUCAAACUGUUAUGGUUAGCUUUUGCAUGUACAUGUAGUUCAAAUUUCAAUUACGGUCAUUAAAUGGCUUGAAAAUCACUUAAAUGUCUUAAAAGGUCAAAUGACCCCUGAAAUUUUCCAAAUUUUGACAUGACACUCGUAUUAGUACUGCAAAUUUCCUCGUACAUUCAAAAACCCAUCCGUUGCCACUUUACUCCAAAUUCGUCUUUCACAGCUAAUAAAAAAUAUCUACAACAUCACAUAAGUUGUUUUGUAGGAGUCGUUUGCGAUGAAAAUUUCUAGGUCUGUUUAAGUCUUCCUCCUUAAACUUCGCCGGCUUGUCUGCUCCAGUGCCGGCAACCCCCGAAUCCACAAUUCCCGAUCCCCAUUCCCGCACCCCCUUCUUGCAAAGAUGACACCGUGGAAAUGCUUCGUGAAGGCACGUACGAUGGCCACGUCCCCCCCCAGCGCUGAUACGUCUCCAACAUAUCUAUAAUUUAUGAAGUAUUCAUGCUAAUAUUUUAUCAUUCUUGGAUGUUUUACAAUCAUUUUAUAGCAACUUUAUAUCGUUUUUUGGGACUAACCUAUUGACCCAGUGCCCAGUGCCAGUUGCUGUUUUUUGCUUGUUUUUUACAUCGCAGGAAAUCUAUAUCAAACAGAGUCCAAACACCGUGUAACUCCUUGGAGAAUUUUUAUGGACCAGAACACCCAAGAUGGGCUAGAGCAGCACCUGGGGGGUGCCUCGAGGGGGGCACAAGCCCAGGCGCGCCCAGGUGGGUUGUGCCCAACUCGGCGGCCUCCCGCGCCCCUUCUUCACCCAAUAAAAUCCCAAAUAUUCCAAAACCUUUCAGGGUAGCCCUAGAUCAUAAGUUCCGCCGCCGCAAGGCCUCUAUAUCCACGAGAUCCAAUCUAGACCCCAUUCCAACACCCUGCCAGAGGGGGGAAUCAUCUCCGGUGGCCAUCUUCAUCAUCCCGGCGACCACAAGUAUGAGUAGGGAGUAGUCCACCCUCGGGGCUGAGGGUUUGUACCAGUAGAUAUGUCUUUAAUCUCUCUCUCUCUCUCUCUUGUGUUCUUGAGAUGUCACGAUCUUGAUGUCUCGCGGGCUUUGUUAAUAUAGUCAUAUCAUAUGGUGUUUUCCCCUCUCUAUCUUGUUGUGAGGAAUUGAGUAUUUCCCUUUGAGAUUUCAUUGUUAUCGGGUUGAAUACUUUUAUGGAUUUGAGAACACUUGAUAUAUGUCUUGCAAUUGAAUACUCGUGGUGACAAUAGGGUAUCGUAUUGAUUCACUUGAUAUAUGUUUGGCACUCAACUUGCAGAUUCCCGAGGUGACAUAGGGGUAAUCUAUGCAUAGGGGUUGAUGCACGUUCUUGUCUUUAUUUCUCCGGUAGAAAUCUUGGGGCACUCUUUGAAGUUCUUUGUGUUGGACUGAAAAUUAUAAAUCUGAAUUUGCUUUGGUGUUAUUUUAGUAUGAACUCUAGGAUAGAUCAAACGGAAAUAAUAGCUUCGUGUUAUUUAGGUAUGAACUAUUGAAUAGAUCGAAUGGAAAGAAUAGCUUUGAGGUGGUUUCGUACCCUACAAAAAAUUUUGUCUUAUGUUCUCCAUUAGAUAGGAACUUUGGAGUGAUUCUUCAUCGCACUUUGAGGGAUGGUUAUAUAAUCCAAUUAUAUAGCACUGUUGAGAGAUUGCACUAGUGAAAGUAUGCACCCUAGGCCUCAUUUUCCAUCAUUGCAAUACCAUUUGUGCUUCGUUUACUAUUUACUACCUUGCUAUUUUUUAUUGUUCGCACUACAAAAACUCAUAUCUACUAUCCAUACUACACUUUUAUCAUCAUCUCUUCGCCGAACUAGUGCACCUAUACAAUUUGCCAUUGUAUUGGGUGUGUUGGGGACACAAGAGAUUUCUUGUAUUUGAUUGCAGAGUUGCUUGAGAGAGACUAUCUUCAUCUUACGCCUCCCACGAAUUGAUAAACCUUAGGUCAUUCACUUGAGGGAAAAUUGCUACUGUCCUACAAAACUCUGCACUUGGAGACCCAACACAUGUCUACAAGAAUAAAGUUGCAUAGUAGACAUCAAGCUCUUUUCUAGCGCCGUUGCCGGGGAGGUGAGUGCUUGAAGGUAUAUCUCUAGAUCUUGCAAUUGAAUCUUUUAGUUUCUUGUUUUAUCACUAGUUUGGUUUAUAAAAGAAAACUGCAAAAAAAUGGAAUUAAGGUUGCAUCAUAUUAUUGAUCAUCUUUAUGAUAUCUUUCUUGAAAAUGAUGGAUCAGAAAGUUGUGCUCAAUUUUUAGAAGAAGAAUGCUAUAAAAUGUUUGGCAUAGAAUCUUUGAAUGAUGAGCAUGAUUGCAAUGGUGUUGGCAUGAACUCUUUGAAUAUCCAUGAUGCUAAUGAUAUGCAAAGCCACAAGCUUGGGGAUGCUAUGGUUGAUGAAGAUGAUGUUUUUAGUCCCCCAAGAUUUGAUGUGCAAAUUUGUUAUAAUGAUUGCAUGCCUCCUAUUUAUGAUGAUUAUAAUGAUGAAAGUGGACUCGGAGAGGUCAUGACUUUAUUUAAUGAUGAAUCCACCAUUUUGGAUGAGGGUUCAAUAGAUUAUGAGAACAAGGUUGCUAUCUAUGAUGAUUAUGGUGAUUACAUGUAUGCUAUAAAGAAUAAUGAUAACCAUGAAACUUGUCAUCAUGAUUUUAAUUUUCACUCUCAUGAUAGUUAUUUUGUUGAGUUUGCUCCCACUACUAUUGAUGAGAAGAAAUUUGCUUAUGUGGAGAGUAAUAAAUUUUCUAUUCUUGUGGAUCAUGAAAAGAAUGCUUUAUGUGAUGAUUAUAUUGUUGAAUUUCUUCAUGAUGCUACUGAAAAUUUCUAUGAUGGAUGAAUAUAUGCUUGUAGGAAUUGCAAUAAUAUUAAGUUUCCUCUCUAUGUGUUGAAAAUCUUGAAGUGAUGCUUGUUUUGUCUUCCUAUGCUAGUUGAUUCUUGUUCCCAUAAGUUGUUUGCUCAUGAAAUCCCUAUGCAUAGGAAGUGGGUUAGACUUAAAUGUGCUAGUCAUAUUCUUCAUGAUGCUCUCUUUGUGUUCCAAUUCUUAUCUUUUAUGCGAGCAUCAUUGAAAUCAUCAUGCCUAGCUAGAAGGCAUUAAAGAAAAGCACUUGUUGGGAGACAACCCAACACUUUUAUCUACUAUUUUUUGUGUGUUCACAUGAUUAUGCUACUGUGGUAAUCAUGUUUUAUUGUUUUUGUUUCAAUAAACCGCCAAGUAAAACCUUUGGGAUCAUGUUGGGUGAUGGUUGAUUUGAUCUUGCUGAAAAAGAGAAACUUUUGCGCUCACGAAAAUAACUCUCAUUUUUAACAAGAGAGUGCUUUUGAGUUGAUUCUUUUUGAAUAAUAUUAAUAUACAAAUUUCUCACGUGUUCCAAUUUUUUUUCAUAGUUUUGGGAGUAUAAGAAGUAUGGUUUGAGUACAGAUUACUACAGACUGUUCUGUUUUUGUCAGAUUCUGUUCUCAAUGCAUAGUUUGCUUGUUUCCUGGUUUCUAUGGCUUAUAUUGCUCAAUAUAAAUUGUAGAACUGAUAUGAUAAAGUAGGCAUUGUGUGGAAACAAUUAUGCAUCUUGUCUUUGACAGUACCAAAAGUGAAAUGGUUUGCUCUUUAUCAUACUAACCUAUCUCACAAAGUUCUGUUAAGUUUUGUGUGAUUGAAGUUUACAAGUUUUGGGUGAGAUAUCGAUAUGAGGAGAAUAAGGAGUUACAAGACACUAAGCUUGGGCACUCCAAGGUAAUAUACAAGGAAUAUCCAAGCAACUAAGCUUGGGGAUGCCCCGGAAGGCAUCCCCUCUUUCGUCUUCAACAUUAUCGGUAACCUCACUUGGAGCUUUGUUUCAUUUGUCACAUGAUAUGUGUUUUGCUUGGAGAAUCAAUUUAUUUUGUUAGGAUUUGCUUUCAGUUAUAUAGAAUAAUGUUUUGCAUCUUUUAUUUCAAUAAAAGUGGCAAUGAUAGCCUUUGCCAUGCUUAUUUUGCAAGUAUACAUGUUGAUGUUUCAAAACAGAAAGUUUAUCGCUGUUGCAAAAAUUCCGUAGAGAAGUCAGAAUAUGAUAAAAUGUUGAAAUGUUUUGCAAAAUAAGCUCUUAUACAGUGUGUAGUUUGUUUCAUAAUUUUUGGGAUUAGGGAAGUAUGGUGAAUCUUGCAUUCUUUACAGACUUUACUAUUUUGGAAGAUUGAUGUUAUGGUUGCAUUGUUUGCAUAUGUUUGCUUGUUUAAUGAUUCUAUUUGAGGAUAGGACUAUUAAAUAUGCAGUGGAAUUUAGUAUGAAAUGUUGAAUAAUAAUUUUAGUAAUUUGGUACAGUAGAGAAUGAUGAGGUUUUGCAUUGAUUUAUACUGACUUAUCUCACGAGCUCUUGUUGAGUUUUGUGUGGAUGAAGCUUUUGAGAUUUAGGGAAACCGUGAUAUGAGAGGAAUUAAGGAGACACAAAAGCUCAAGCUUGGGUAUGCCCAAGGCAUCCCAAGUUAAUAUUCCAAGAAGUCUCAAGCAUCUAAGCUUGGGGAUGCCCCGGUAGGCAUCCCACCUUUCUUCUUCAACAAUUAUCGGUUAGUAUCGGUUGAGCCUAAGUUUUUGCUUCUUCACAUGAGUUGUGCUAUUCUUAGAAUGUCAUUUUAUUUUUAUUUUUCUUGUUGUUUUAAUAAAAUACUUAGACCUGAAAGUUUUCAAAUAAAGGAGAGUCCUCAAAUAGUUGCCAGGGAGGCUAAGUAAGCGGCACUCACAUCCCGUCAAGGAAGCUCUUUUCUGUGCAAUUGCCCUAGUGCUUCACUUAUAUCCUAUGAGUAAAUUGUUGAAUAAAUUGAAUAUCAUGAAGUUAAAAUGACAUCAUGCCUAUGGUAGCUUCACAUUGGGUUUAGAGAGUGAAAUCUUUUGAGGAUUAACAAUCACAAUAUUAGUCAUACAAGCAAUUCACGAAUAAAAGGUAUAAGGAAGAGAACUUUCACAUGCAAAUACACUAUCUUGGAAAUCUUUUGUGAUUGAGCCCCCAUCAAAAUAUUAUAUGCCAAAAUUGUUGAAGUUGGACAAGGAAGACAACGUAAUGAUUUACGUUUGUUCAUAUUCACAUAGAAGUUAUAUUGACAUAGAUCCUUCAACAUGUGGUGCUUGCCCCCUAUCUUUGCUACCCAAAAAUUCCGUACCAAGUAGAGAUACUACUUGUGCAUCCAAAAACCCUUAAACCCAAAUCUUGUUUUGAGAGUCCACCAUACCUACCUAAGGAUUGAGAAAUAUCCUUCAAGUCAGUUGUCAUCAGUGCAAUAAGGCAAUAAAAAUUGCUUCUAAGAGUGUUAGAUCAUUUAGUGUAAGAGAAAAUUGAGCGUUGUACGAACUUGUGAUGGAAAAGAAUAAAAGCGAUAGACUGCAUAAUAAAGGUUGCUAUCAUAAGGGGCAAUAUAAUGUGAAGUUCUUUUGCACUAAGGGGUUGAGCAUACAAACAAAUAAGCGCAUGGCAAUCUAUGCUUCCCUUUGCGAAGGGCCUAUCUUUUACUUUUAUGUAUUUACUUUCAUGCAAGAGUCAAAGUUUUUCUCUCUACUCCUUUUUAUUAUUCUCCUUUGGCAAGCAUCAUGUGGUGAGGAAAGAUCUAGGCAGAUAUAUCCAAUUGGAUAUGGGUAGCAUGAGUUAUUAUUGUUGACAUCACCCAAAGGUGAAUACGUUGGGAGGCAAAAUUAUAAGCCCCUAUCUUUCUAUGUGUCCGGUUGAAACGUUUUCCUCAUGUGUAUGCGGUGAGUGUUAGCAAUCAUAGAAGACUAUAUGGCGGUUGAGUAUGUGGAGCUCUUACUUAGACUCUGUUGAAUAAGUUGAAUUGCAAUUGCUUGCUGACUGAGAACAUAGGUUGUCGGGUUUCAAGAGAAUUCAUUGUUUGGACCUUAACAUGUGAAUUGGCUGCUACUAUAACAUGAGAAGUUUUAUAAGAAAGAAUUGAUGUUGUGAUGCUAGGAAAAGUGAUUGAAAUUAGCAUUGAUCAAACUUAUGCACUUUGCUAGCAUUCACACUUCAUAAAUUAUUUAUUUUAUCAUUUACCUACUCGAGGACGAGUAGGAAUUAAGCUUGGGGAUGCUGAUACGUCUCCAACGUAUCUAUAAUUUAUGAAGUAUGCAUGCUAAUAUUUUAUCAUUCUUGGAUUUUUACAAUCAUUUUAUAGCAACUUUAUAUCAUUUUUGGGACUAACCUAUUAACCCAGUGCCCAGUGCCAGUUGCUAUUUUUUGCUUGUUUUUUACAUCGCAGGAAAUCAAUAUCAAACAGAGUCCAAACACCGCGUAACUCCUUGGAGAAUUUAUAUCGACCAGAACACCCAGGAUGGGCCAGAGCUGCACCUCGGGGGUGCCCCGAGGGGGCAUAACCCACCAGGGCGCGCCUAUUCCUUUUCUGCAAAACUCUAAAACAGGUAAAAAUAACAGAAACUAGCACUAGGCUCAGGUUAAAAGGUUAGUCCCAAAAAUAAUAGAAAAUAGCAUAUUAAUGCAUAUAAAACAUCCAAACAGUUAAUAUAAGAGCAUGGAACAAUCAAAAAUUAUAGAUACGUUGGAGACGUAUCAAGCAUCACCAACCUUAAUUCCUGCUCGUCCUCAAGUAGGUAAAUGUUAAAACAGAAUUUUUUUAUGAGGAAUGCUACCUAACAUAUUUAUCCAUGCAAUUCUUUUUGUUGUGGCAUGAAUGUUCAGAUCUGUAAGAUUCAAGACAAAAUUUUAAUAUUGACAUAAAAACAAUAAUACUUCAAGCAUAGUAAUAAAGCAAUCAUGUCUUCUCAAAAUAACAUGGCCAAAGAAAGCUAUCCCUACAAAAUCAUAUAGUCUGGUGAUACGUCUCCAACAUAUCUAUAAUUUUUGAUUGUUCCAUGCUAUUAUAUUACCUAUUUUGGACGUUUAUGGGCUUUACUUUACACUUUUAUAUCAUUUUUGGGACUAACCUACUAACAGGAGGCCCAGCCUGAAUUGUUGUUUUUUCCCUAUUUCAGUGUUUCAAAGAAAAGGAAUAUCAAACGGAGUCCAAAUGGGAUGAAACCUUCGAGAGCAAUCUUUUUGGAACAAAUGCAAACCAGGAGACUGGGAGUGGACGUCAAGCAACAAACGAGGCGACCACGAGGGGGUGGGCGCGCCCCCCACCCUCGUGGGCCCCUCGUGGCUCAACCGACAUACUUAUUCCUCCUAUAUAUAUCCACGUACCCUGAAAACAUCCAGGAGCACCACGAAAACCUAAUUCCACCGCCGCAACCAUCUGUAUCCUUGAGAUCCCAUAUUGGAGACUUCGCUGGCGCUCCGCCGGAGGGGGAAUCGACCAUGGAGGGCCUCUACAUAAUUUUCAAGGCCUCUCUGAUGAGUUGUGAAUAGUUUACCACCGACCUUCGGGUCCAUAGUUAUUAGCUAUAUGGCUUCUUCUCUCUCUUUGAAUCUCAAUACAAAGUUCUCCUUGAUCUUCUUGGAGAUCUAUUCGAUGUAACUCUUUUUGUAGUGUGUUUGUCGAGAUCUGAUGAAUUGUGGGUUUAUGAUCAAGUUUAUCUAUGAGAAAUAAUUGAAUCUUCUCUGAAUUAUUUUAUGUGUGAUUGGUUAUCUUUGCAAGUCUUUUCGAAUUAUCAGUUUGAUUUGGCCUACUAGAUUUAUCUUUCUUGCAAUGGGAGAAGUGCUUAGCUUUGGGUUCAACCUUGCGGUGUCCUUUCCCAGUGAGAGCAGGGGCAGCAAGGCAUGUAUUGUAUUGUUGCCAUCGAGGAUAAAAAGAUGGGGUUUAUAUCAUAUUGCAUGAGUUUAUCCCCCUACGUCAUGUCAUCUUUCUUAAUGUGUUACUCUGUUCUUCAUGAACUUAAUACUCUAGAUGCAGGCAGGAGUCAGUUGAUGUGUGGAGUAAUAGUAGUAGAUGCAGAAUCAUUUCGAUCUACUUGUCACGGAUGUGAUGCCUAUAUACAUGAUUAUUCCUAGAUAAUAUCAUAACUAUGCACUUUUCUAUCAAUUGCUCGACAGUAAUUUGUUCACCCACUGUAGUACUUAUGCUAUCUUGGGAGAAGCCACUAGUGAAACCUAUGGCCCCCGGGUCUAUCUUUUAUCAUAUAAGUUUCCCUUCUACUUUUAUUUGCAUCUUUUAUUUUCUAAUCUAUAUCAUAAAAAUACCAAAAAUAUUUAUCUUAUCUUAUUAUCUCUAUAAGAUCUCAGUUUUGCAAGUUACCGUGAAGGGAUUGACAACCCCUUUAUCGCGUUGGUUGCGAGGUUCUUGUUUGUUUGUGUAGGUGUGUGGGACUUUUGAGGAGCCUCCUACUGGAUUGAUAACUUGGUUCUCAUAAAUUGAGGGAAAUACUUACGCUACUUUGCUACAUCACCCUUUCCUCUUCAAGGUAAAACCAACGCAGUGCUCAAGAGGUAGCAAGAAGGAUUUCUGGUGCCGUUGCCGGGGAGGUCUUCGCUCAAGUCAAGAAAUACCAAGUACCCAUCACAAACUCAUCUCCCUCGCAUUGCAUUAUUUGCCAUUUGCCUCUCGUUUUCCUCUCCCCCACUUCACCCUUGCCGUUUUAUUCGCCCUCUCUUUCCCGUUCUCCCCUCUUUUUCGCUUGCCUUUUGUGUGCUCGUGUGUUAGUUCGUUUAUCUCUGCAUUAUGGCUAGUCCUCCUAUCAUCGUUAGUACUCCCGAUCAUGAAGUUCUUAAUUUUAAACAAAGGGAGGGAGAAACUCUAAAAGAUGCUUGGCAUAGAACUUGCAAUGCUCAAAAUAGAUCUACUAGGAAGCAAUCUACUUCUAUUCUUCUUCGUAAUUUUUAUGUAGGCAUUACUCCUUGGAAAAGAUAUAUCCUUGAUACCAUUAUCGGAGGGAAUUUCUUGGGUAGCCAUACUUUUGAUGCUUAUAAUGCUAUGUUGGAUUUGUUUGGUCCACCCCCUCUUUUGGUUAAUGGAACUGUUUUAACUUUGGAACAUGUGAUGAAAAGGCUUGAAAUUAUUGAAAAUAAAGUUUCCACUAUUGACUUAAUUGAAAAUUUGGAUAAAAAGAUCCAUAACCAAAUUACCAAAUAUGGAUAUAGGGUUGGAGUUACUUUGAAAAAAAUUAAGAGAAAGAACCUAUAGUUAAUGAAAGAAUAGAUCUAGAUUCUACAAGAAUUGGUAAACUUGAGGAUAUUAUUACCAACUUAGGGUCUGCCUUUUCAUCUGUGAAAAAUAAUCCAACUCCUCCUACCAAAAUUGCCAAAUUUAUGUAUCUUCCUAAAAAUAAGGGUGAAUCUUCUAGUAAGGAAAAUGUUGAUCUCAAAUCAAUAAGUGUUCAUCCCAAUUUUCUUGCUAUCAUUAAGGAACCUUUUGCUACAAACGAAUUUUUUGAUUUCUUGCCUAGGAUUUUAAUCAUUGCUAAAAAGAAAGAAACUCCUAAGGAUUAUAAGUGCUCUAUUGAAGAAUUGAAUGCCAAAGAUGGCAAUACCUAGAUCUAUUCUCGCUUUUAUGCCUAGCUAGGGGCGUUAAACGAUAGCGCUUGUUGAGAGGCAACCCAAUUUUAUUUUCAUUCCUUGUUUUUUUGCUUCUUUUUAGUAAUAAAUAUUUCAUCUAGCUUCUGUUUAUAUGUGGUUUGAUUUUUUUAAUUAGUGUUUGUGCCAAGUAGAACCUAUAGGAUAACCUACGGUGAUAGUUAAUUUGAUUCUGCUAAAAAGCAGAAACUUUUGCGCGCACGAGAAUAAUUUUAAUAAAUCACAGAAAUGAGAUUUUGCAUUGAUUCUUUUUGCAGUAGAUCAAUAGACAAAUUGUCCAGGACUUACUAUUUUGGUAGGAUGUUUAGAGUUCGAGAAGAAUUUGAAAGUUACAGAUUUCUACAGACUGUUUUAUUUUUGAUAGAUUCUGUUUUUCGUGUGUUGUUUGCUUAUUUUGAUGCAUCUAUGGCUAGUAUCGGGGGGUAUGAACCAUAGAGAAGUUUGAAUACAUUAGGUUUAACAACAAUACAAAUAAAUAAUGAGUUCAUUACAGUACCUUAUGUGGUGGUUUUUCUUUCUUGCACUAACGGAGCUUAUGAUAUUCCCUGUUGAGUUUUGUGUUGUGAAGUUUUCAAGUUUUGGGUAUAGAUUUGAUGGACUAUAGAAUAAGGAGUGGCAAGAGCCCAAGCUUGGGGAUGCCCAUGGCACCCCAAGAUAAUCCAAGGACAACAAAAAGCCUAAGAUUGGGGAUGCCCCGGAAGGCAUCCCCUAUUUCGUCUUCGUUUAUCGGUAACUUUACUUGGAGCUAUAUUUUUAUUCACCACAUGAUAUGUGUUUUGCUUGGAGUGUCUUGUAUGAUAUGAGUCUUUGCUUUUUAGUUUACCACAAUCAUCCUUGCUGUACACACCUUUUGGGAUAGACACACUUGAUUUGGAAUUUAUUAGAAUACUCUAUGUGCUUCACUUAUAUCUUUUGAGCUAGAUAAUUUUUGCUCUAGUGCUUCGAUUAUAUAUUUUAGAGCACGGCGAUGGUUGAAUUUUGUAGAAAUUGUUGAUCUCUCAUGCUUCACUUAUAUUAUUUUGAGAGUCUUUUAGAACAGCAUGGUAUUUUCUAUGGUUAUAAAAUUGGUCCUAGAAUGAUGGGCAUCCAAGUUGGGUAUAAUAAAAACUAUCAUAGGAAGUGAAUUGGAUGCUAUGAUCAAUUUGAUGCUUGAUAAUUGUUUUGAGAUAUGAGGAUGGUGAUAUUAGAGUCAUGCUAGUGGAGUAAUUAUGAAUUUUAGGAAUACUUGUGUUGAAGUUUGUGAUUCCCGUAGCAUGCACGUAUGGUGAACCGCUUUGUGAUGAAGUUGGAGCAUGAUUUAUUUAUUGAUUGUCUUCCUUACGAGUGGUGGUCGGGGAAGAGCGAUGGUCUUUUCCUACCAAUCUAUCCCCCUAGGAGCAUGCGCAUAGUACUUUGUUUUCAAAGACUUGUAGAUUUUUGCAAUAAGUAUAUGAGUUCUUUAUGACUAAUGUUGAGUCCAUGGAUUAUAAGCACUCUCACCCUUCCACCAUUGCUAGCCUCUCUUGUGCCGCGCAACUUUCACCGGUACCAUACACCCACCAUAUACCUUCCUCAAAACAGCCACCAUACCUACCUAUUAUGUCAUUCCAUAGCCAUUCCGAGAUAUAUUGCCAUGCAACUUUCCACCGUUCCGUCUAUUAUGACACGCAUCAUCAUUGUCAUAUUGCUUUUGCAUGAUCAUGUAGUUGACAUUGUAUUUGUGGCAAAGCCACCUUCAUAAUUCUUCCAUACAUGUCACUCUUGGUUCAUUGCAUACCCCGGUAUACCGCCGGAGGCAUUCAUAUAGAGUCAUAUCUUGUUCUAAGUAUUGAGUUGUAAUCUUGACUUGUAAGUAAAUAAAAGUGUGAUGAUCUUCAUUAUUAGAGCAUUGUACCAAGUGAGGACAGGAUGAUGGAGACUAUGAUUCCCCCACAAGUCGGGAUGAGACAUCGGAAUUUAUAAAAAAGAGAAAGGCCAAAUAAAAAGAAGACAAAGGCCAAAUAAAAAAAUGAGAGAAAAAGAGAGAAGGGACAAUGCUACUAUCCUUUUACCACACUUGUGCUUCAAAGUAGCACCAUGAUCUUCAUGAUAGAGAGUCUCCUAUGUUGUCAAUUUCAUAUGCUAGUGGGAAUUUUUCAUUAUAGAACUUGGCUUGUAUAUUCCAAUGAUGGGAUUCCUCAAAACGCCCUAGGUCUUCGUGAGCAAGCAAGUUGGAUGCACACCCACUUAGUUUCUUUUGUUGAGCUUUCAUACAUUUAUAGCUCUAGUGCAUCUGUUGCAUGGCAAUCCCUACUCACUCACAUUGAUAUCUAUUAAUGGGCAUCUCCAUUGACCGUUGAUAUGCCUAGUUGAUGUGAGACUGUCUUCUCCUUUUUUGUCUUCUCCAAAACCACCAUUCUAUUCCACAUAUAGUGUUAUGUCCAUGGCUCACGCUCAUGUAUUGCGUGAAAAUUGAAAAAGUUUGAGAAUACUAAAGUAUGAAACAAUUGCUUGGCUUGUCAUUGGGGUUGUGCAUGAUUAAAUACUUUGUGUGAUGAAGAUAGAGCAUAGCCAGACUAUAUGAUUUUGUAGGGAUAGCUUUCUUUAGCCAUGUUAUUUUGAGAAGACAUGAUUGCUUUGUUAGUAUGCUUGAAGUAUUAUUGUUUUCAUGCCAACAUGAACUUUUAUUUUAAAUCAUUUGGAUCUGAACAUUCAUGCCACAAUAAAGAAAAUUACAUUGAGAAUUAUGCUAGGUAGCAUUCCACAUCAAAAAUUCUAUUUUUAUCAUUUACCUACUUGAGGACGAGCAGGAAUUAAGCUUGGGGAUGCUUGAUACGUCUCCAACGUAUCUGUAAUUUUUGAUUGUUCCAUGCUAUUAUAUUACCUGUUUUGGAUGUUUAUGGCCUUUACUUUACAAUUUUAUAUCAUUUUUGGGACUAACCUACUAACUAGAGGCCACUUUUAUAUCAUUUUUGGGACUUACCUACUAACCGGAGGCCCAGCCCGAAUUGCUGUGUUUUUGCCUAUUUUAGUGUUUCGAAGAAAAGGAAUAUCAAACGGAGUCCAAAUGGGAUGAAACCUUCGGGAGCGAUCUUUUUGGAACAAAUGCAAACCAAGAGACUUGGAGUGGACGUCAAGCAACAAACAAGGCGGCCACGAGGGUGCCCAGCGCGCCCCCACCCUCGUGGGCCCCUCAUGGCUCAACCGACAUACUUCUUCCUCCUAUAUAUAUCCACGUACCCUGAAAACAUCCAGGGGCACCAUGAAAACCAAAUUCCACCGUCGCAACCUUCUGUAUCCACGAGAUCCCAUCUUGGAGCCUUCGUCGGUGCUCCGCUGGAGGGGGAAUCGACCAUGGAGGGCCUCUACAUCAUCUCCAAGGCCUCUCCGAUGAGUUGUGGGUAGUUUACCAUAGACCUUCGGGUCCAUAGUUAUUAGCUAGAUGUCUUCUUCUCUCUCUUUGAAUCUCAAUACAAAGUUCUCCUCGAUCUUCUUGGAGAUCUAUUCGAUGUAACUCUUUUUGCGGUGUGUUUGUCGAGAUCCGAUGAAUUGUGGGUUUAUGAUCAAGUUUACCUAUGAGAAAUAAUUGAAUCUUCUCUAAAUUCUUUUAUGUGUGAUUGGUUAUCUUUGCAAGUCUCUUCGAAUUAUCAGUUUGGUUUGGACUACUAGAUUGAUCUUUCUUGCAAUGGGAGAAGUGCUUAGCUUUGGGUUCAAUCUUGUGGUGUCCUUUCCCAGUGACGGCAGGGGCAGCAAGGCACGUAUUGUAUUGUUGCCAUCGAGGAUAAAAAUAUGGGGUUUAUAUCAUAUUGCAUGAGUUUAUCCCUCUACAUCAUGUCAUCUUUCUUAAUGUGUUACUCUGUUCUUCAUGAACUUAAUACUCUAGAUGCAGGCAGGAGUCGGUGGAUGUGUGGAGUAAUAGUAGUAGAUGCAUAAUCGUUUCGAUCUACUUGUCACGGAUGUGAUGCCUAUAUACAUGAUCAUGCCUAGAUAAUCCCAUAACUAUGCGCUUUUCUAUCAAUUGCUCGACAGUAAUUUGUUCACCCACCGUAAUACUUAUGCUAUCUUGAGAGAAGCCACUAGUGAAACCUUAUGGCCCCCGGGUCUAUCUUUUAUCAUAUAAGUUUCCCAUCUACUUUUAUUUGCAUCUUUUAUUUUCCAAUCUAUAUCAUAAAAAUACCAAAAAUAUUUAUCUUAUCCUAUUAUCUCUAUCAGAUCUCACUUUCGCAAGUUACCGUGAAGGGAUUGACAACCCCUUUAUCGCGUUGGUUGCGAGGUUCUUGUUUGUUUGUGUAGGCACGUGGGACUUUUGAGGAGCCUCCUACUGGAUUGAUACCUUGGUUCUCAUAAACUGAGGGAAAUACUUAUGCUACUUUGGUGCAUCACCCUUUCCUCUUCAAGGGAAAACCAACACGGUGCUCAAGAGGUAGUAUCUGGCUAUGCUCUAUCUUCAUCACACAAAAUAUUUAAAUCAUGCACAACCCCGAUGACAGGCCAAGCAAUUGUUUCGUACUUUUUAUGUUCUCAAACUUUUUCAAUUUUCACGCAAUUCAUGAGCGUGAGCCAUGGAUAUAGCACUAUGGUGGCAGAGAAUAUGGUGGUUGUGGAGAAGACAAAAAGGGGACGAUAGUCUCACAUCAACUAGGUGUAUCAACGGGCUAUGGAGAUGCCCAUUAAUAGAUAUCAAUGUGAGUGAGUAAGGAUUACCAUGUAACGGAUGCACUAGAGCUAUAAGUGUAUGAAACCUCAAAAAGAAACUAAGUGGGUGUGCAUCCAACUCGCUUGCUCAUGAAUACCUAGGGCAAUUUGAGGAAUCCCAUCAUUGGAAUACACAAGCCAAGUUCUAUAAUGAAAAAUCCCCACUAGUAUAUGAAAGUGAUAUCAUAGGAGACUCUCUAUCAUGAAGAUCAUGGUGCUACUUUGAAGCACAAGUGUGGUAAAAGGACAGUAACAUUGCCCCUUCUCUCUUUUUCUCUCAUUUUUUGGGCCUUUCUCUUUCUUUAUAGCCUCUUUUUUCCGUAUGGAGUCUCAUCCCGACUUGUGGAGGAAUCAUAGCCUCCAUCAUCCUUUCCUCACAUGGGACAAUUCUCUAAUAAUGAAGAUCAUCACACUUUUAUUUACUUACAACUCAAGAAUUACAACCCAAUACUUAGAAAAAAAUAUGACUCUAUGUGAAUACCUUCGGUGGUGUACCGGUGUGUGCAAUGAUUCAAGAGUGACAUAUAUGAAAGAAUUAUGAACGGUGGCUUGGCCACAAAUAUGAUGUCAACUACAUGAUCAUGCAAAGCAAUAUGACAAUGAUGAAGCGUGUCAUAACAAACAGAACGGUGGAAAAUUGCAUGGCAAUAUAUCUCGGAAUGGCUAUGGAAAUUCCAUAAUAGGUAGGUAUGGUGGCUGUUUUGAGGAAGGUAUACGGUGGGUGUAUGGUACCGGCGAGAGUUGCACGGCACAAGAGAGGCUAGCAAUGGCGGAAGGGUGAGAGUGCGUAUAAUCCAUGGACCCAACAUUAGUCAUAAAGAACUCACAUGCUUAUUGCAAAAAUCUAUUAUUUAUCAAAACGAAGUACUACGGGCAUGCUCCUAGCGGGAUAGAUUGGUAGGAAAAUACCAUCGCUCGUCCCCGACCGCCACUCAUAAGUAAGACAAUCAAAAAAUAAAUCAUGCUCCGACUUCAUCACAUAACGGUUCACCAUACGUGCAUGCUAUGGAAAUCACAAACUUUAGCACAAUUAUCUCUCAAAUUCACAACUACUCACUAGCAUGACUCUAAUAUCACCAUCUUCAUAUCUCAAAACAAUCAUAAAGAAUCAAACUUCUCAUAGUACUCAAUGCACUUUAUAUGAAAGUUUUUAUUAUAUCCUUCUUGGAUGUCUAUCAUAUUAGGACUAAAUUUAUAACCAAAGCAAAUUACCAUGUUGUUCUAAAAGACUCUCAAAAUAAUAUAAGUGAAGCAUGAGAGUUCAUAAAUUUCUAUAAAAUAAAGCCUCCGUCAUGCUCUAAAAAGAUAUAAGUGAAGCACUAGAGCAAUAUUGCCCUCCUCCAAAUAUAUAAGUGAAGCACAUGGAGUAAUCUAAUAAAUCACGAUUCAAGUGUGUCUCUCCCAAAAGGUGUGUACAGCAAGGAUGAUUAUGGUCAACUAAAAGCAAAGACUCAAAUCAUACAAGAUGCUCCAAGCAAAACACAUAUCAUGUGGUCAAUAGAAAUGCAGCCUCAAGUAAAGUUACCGAUAGAAGAAGACGAAAGAGGGGAUGCCUUCCGGGGCAUCCCCAAGCUUAGGCUUUUGGGUUUUCUUGAAUAUUACCUUGGGGUGCCUUGGGCAUCCCCAAUCUUAGGCUCUUGCCACUCCUUAUUCCAUAGUCCAUCAAAUCCUUACCCAAAACUUGAAAACUUCAAAAAACAAAACUCAACAGAAAAUCUCAUAAGCUCCGUUAGUAUCAGAAAAUAAAUUAUCACUUCAAGGUACUUUUCAAAAGUAGUUAUUUAUUUAUAUUGGUGUAAUAUCUACUGUAUUCCAACUUUUCCAUGGUUCAUACCCCCGAUACUACCCUUAGAUUCAUCAAAAGGCAAACAACACAUAGAAAACAGAAUCUGUCAAAAACAGAACAGUCUGUAGUAAUAUGUAACUCUUGAAUACUUAUGUAACUCCAAAAAUUCUGAAAAAAUAGGAAAAACCUGAGAAAUUUGUGUACCAAUCCAAAGCAAAAAGAAUCAGAUCAAAAGCAGGUUUCAAUAAAAUUCUGGAAAUUAUUUACUGGGUGCAAAAGUUUCUGUUUUUCAGCAGGAUCAACACAACUAAUACCGUACGCUAUCCUAAAGGUUUAACUUGGCACAAACACUCAUUAAAACACAAAACCACAUCUAAACAAAGACUAGAUGAAUUAUUUAUUACUAAAAAGGAACAAAAGUCAAAGAACAAAAAUAAAAUUGGGUUGCCUCCCAACAAGCGCUAUUGUUUAACGCCCUUAGCUAGGCAUAAAACACGAAUAGAUCUAGGUGUUGUCAUCUUUGGUAUGCAAUCCAUAAGUGGCUCUCAUAAUAGAUUCAUAUGGCAACUUAAUUUUAUUUCUAGAAAGUGUUCCAUGCCUUUCCUUAACGGAAAGUGAAAUCUAAUGUGGUGUUCCAUGCCUUUCCUUAACGGAAAUUGAAAUCUAAUGUUUCCUUCAUUCAUAUCAAUAAUUUCACCAACGUUCUAAGGAAAGGUCUACCAAGAAUAAUAGGACACGUAGGAUUGCAAUCUAUAUCAAGACCAAUGAAAUCUACGGGCACAUAAUUCCUAUUUGCAAAAAUAAGAACAUCGUAAAUCCUUCCCAUAGGUUUCUUAAUAGUGGAAUCCGCAAGAUGCAAAUUUAAAGAACAAUCGUCAAAUUCACGGAAACCUAAGACAUCACACGAAGUUUUUGGAAUCGUGGAAACGCUAGCACCCAAAUCACACAAAGCAUGGCACUCAUAAUCCUUAAUCUUAAUCUUAAUAGUAGGUUUCCACUCAUCAUAAAGUUUUUUAGGGAUAUAAACUUCCAAUUCAAGCUUUUCUUCAAAGGAUUGCAUCAUAGCAUGGACGAUAUGUUUAGUAAAAGCUUUGUUUUGAUUAUAGGCAUGAGGAGAAUUUAACAUGGAUUGCAACAAGGAAAUAGAAUCUAUUAAAGGAUAAUUAUCAUAAUUAAGUUCCUUGAAAUCCAAAAGAGUGGGUUCAUUUCUACUUAAAGUCUUGACCUCUCCAAUCUCACUUUUAUCAAUUUUUUCAUCUAGAUCUAAAAAUUCCGAAUCAUUGGGACGCAUUUUAACUAAAGUUGGCUCAUCUCCAGUCCCAUCUUCAUCAAGAUUUAUAUUGGAAAUAAAAGAUUCAAUAGGAGUCACAUUAAUCACUUUUAGAUCUUCAUGAUUAUUAUCAGAUUCUGGUUUAGCGGCCAUUUUAUUUACUAAGGUAGCUUGUUUAUCAGAAAUUUGGCCUAAAAUUUUCAAGAUGAGCAAAUUGAGAUUUUAGACCAUAAAAUUCCUUAGACAUAUCAUUGAGCUCUUUAUUCAUAUACUCCAUAAAACUUUUUUGUUCUUUAAGUUCGUUUCUGAAGAAACUAAUAUGCUCAAAUUGUAAAGACAUAAAGCUUCUAACAUCUUUUCAAUUUCUUCCAACCUCCUGAGGUGAGGAUCAACACUUUUUGGUUGCACCAUAAAGGCACACCCACACACAAGUACACAAAAAGCAAGCAAAGAAGACGAAUGGAAGAGGGGCGAAGAAAAGGCAAAUCUUUUCGAAAAUUGUUUUAGAGGUGGGGGGAAGGAAAACGAGAGGUGAAUGGCGAAUAAUUUAAUGCAAGAGAUGAGAAUUUAUGAUGGGUACUUGGUAUGUCUUGACUUGACGUAUAUCUCCUCGGCAACGGCGCCAGAAAUUCUUCCUGCUACUUCUUGAGCUUGCGUUGGUUUUUCCCUUGAAUAGGAAAGGGUGAUGCAGCAAAGUAUAGUAAGUAUUUCCCUCAGUUUGAGAACCAAGAUAUCAAUCCAGUAGGAGACAGCGCAUAAGUCACCGAAUACAUGCACAAACAAUCAACAAACUUGCACCCAACGCGAUAAAGGGGUUGUCAAUCCCUUCACGGUUACUUACAAAAGUGAGAUCUGAUAGAGAUAGAUAAACGGUAAAGUAAAUAUUUUUGGAAUUUUUGGUUUAUAGAUCGGAAAAUAAAAUAUUUCAAAAUAGUAGAUCAGAAACUAAUAUGAUGGAAAAGAGACUUAAUAUGAUGGAAAAUAGACCCGGGGGCCAUAGGUUUCACUAGUGACUUCUCUCAAGAUAGCAAAUAAUACGGUGGGUGAACAAAUUACUGCCGAGCAAUUGAUAGAAGAGCGCAUAAUUAUGACGAUAUCUAAGGCAAUGAUCAUGAACAUAGGCAUCACGUCCGUGUCAAGUAGACCGAAACAAUUCUGCAUCUACUAGUAUUACUCCACACAUCGACCAACUCCUGCCUGCAUCUAGAGUAUUAAGUUCAUAAAGAACAGAGUAAUGCAUUAAGUAAGAUGACAUGAUUUAGAGAAAUUAACUCAAGCAAUAUGAUGAAAACCCCAUCUUUUUGUCCUCGAUGGCAACAAUACUAUACGUGUCUUGCUGCCCCUACUGUCACAGGGAAAGGACACCGCAAGAUUGAACCCAAAGCUAAGCACUUCUCCCAUUGCAAGAAAAACCAAUCUAGUAGGCCAAACUAAACCGAUAAUUCGAAGAGACUUGCAAGGAUAUCAAAUCAUGCAUAUAAGAAUUCAGAGAAGAUCACUACAACAAGAACCCCCCUAUAGCAACACAUGAUUUGCACGCUCUAAGAAUGUGUUGUAAGGUAUCUGCUAUAGCAAUGCAUAUAUGUGUUGGUAAACCAUACGUUGCUUACCGUGCAUACAACAACGGUUACUUUGUGUUGCAGUUGUGCGUUGCAAAAAAAAUUAGCUUUGCGUUGCCAUUUUUAAAUAGUCCGUAUUGCAUAUUUAUUAUUUUAUUAUUACCUGGAUUUUUAUUUAAUUAUUAAUGGAAAAAGAUUAUUAUUUCAUUAUUACAUGGAUUAUUAUUUAAUUAUUAAUGGAAAAGAAAAAGGGGCUACAGAAUCCUCGAACCGGCCAUCUCACUGUUAAUAAGGGAGUAACAAAGGAAUAUUUAUUUCUGAGCUCGGGCUCAGAUGCUCCUGAAAUCAACGCCGUACAUUCGCAUGUGGAUAUGUGCAUGCUGACGUAUUCUCUUCUUGUAUAUAUCAUGUAUCGUACUAAAAUAAGGCCAGCGCAGGCCCGCAUUGAUUGCAAUGACAACUGGUACGUAGUUGCGGACCAAGGGAGCUCCUAUUCAGCGCCGGCCAAGCCAACCGACGCCUACUGACAGUGCCAAGUGGUUCGGCCCACAGACGAAGCGAGCAGUCUCGCGAAAAAAGAAGGCAACAAUAUGAUAGAACCAUGACUUGAACUCACGCCGCUAAACAGCCGGAUUUUUCACCUAACCACUACACCAUCGGAUGACUAGUGAUUGAAACCAAGCGCGACACUACAAGAAAUAUGUUAAUCCAUGAUGGACAGGAGCCGUCAUAGGUGGGUGCAAAACUGUCAAGGAUGGACGUCCAUGACGGAUUCGAAAUCCGUCAUGUAUAUCGCGUCAUAAUUUCACCACCGUGCACUUCAUGACAGUUAUGCACCGUCACAGAUGGUAUACUGUUAACGGCGUUAACAUGCAUGCCACAUCAUCAUCUGACAUGGGAGCCAAUGUGGGUCUGACAUGGGUCCAUAAGGUUAUCAGCCCAAUUAGUAUUCUGGCCCAAUAUUUUGGUUUUGGCCUAUGUGAAGAUUGGCCCAAUUGGGGUUAUGGGCCACUAAUUUUAGUUGUGGCCCGUAUUGCAACCGGCCCAAUAAUCUCAGCUCAAGCUGAUAUGUCUUCAGCCCACUAUUCUAUAAUUGUGAUCCAUUAAAAAUUUAGUCACAUAAGUUAUUUUAUUAAUACUUUCUAUAAUACUAUCAUUCAACAGAAAUACAAUUCCCGUCAAAAAAGAAAAAGAGAUACAACUGACAAAAAGACAAAUGACACCAAAAGCAAAAUGCGCCCCAAAAUAAAAUUUACAAAUUACUCCUAAAGCACUUGCUAGAGAUCGGCCAGCGCUCACGGGAGAUCUUGCGCACUCCAUCUGGAUGGUACCCCCACCGUCCGUGUACACUAAAAAUAAGCAGCGGUGGAUGAGGAUGACGAGCAUGCAUGUCACUGCCCCUAUGCCCUUGACCUCCAGCACGCACGGUGGGUGCGGAAAACGCUGACCAGUGACGGCAUCCACCACCGUAGUCCAGAACGCUGACCGCCGCCAGUCGGAAAUAGGAGCCCAUCGCAGCGAACCCUCGAUGGGAGGGGCCACCACCACACAGAUCUCCGCGACGGGUCAACACAUCUCCUCGGCGUCGGGUCAACGCAUCCCCACACCUCUGGUGGCCCAGCGCAGCACUGCCGGUUGUUGGGGACGGUCUGCACUUCAUGGCGGCCGUCCUUGCCUUGCUACAGCCUCGGAGCUCCUAUACCUGCAACACCAGGGGAAUUAAAUGGAGAAUGGCGGCGGAGGUCAAGAGGAGCAGGGGCUGGGUAUUAAUGAAUCGAUUUUGACGCAGACGAGGACGAGGGUGGCCUCGGCGCAGAUGACCUCGGGCUCACCGGAGAAGUUUUCCUCCUGGAGGCCGGCACGAUGGACAGAAAAGGAGGAGCGCCCGAUAGGUCGACGAGCAUAAGGAUGCCUCGACGGGUCGGCCCUCGGUCGUGGUCGCGUUUCGGAACGCCGAGAUGCGCGCAGCCAGAUGGGAGGAAGGAAGGUACUGGGAGAAGAGGCUGGAAGGAAUGGCGGCUGGUUUCUCGGCGGAAGAGGAGCCCGUGGUUGCGGGGGUAGGGGAGAAAGAAGAUAGGAUAGGGGUUGUACGCCAUCCGUCCGAUCUUGGCAAAUCGAACGGUUAAAAUUUGUGAUCCGUGGGCAGGAUGGUUCGACCAAUCAGAAGACACGGUUUCACUCACGUAGGAUCGCCCCUCGGCUGAGCGCUAUAAUGGGCCUUUUCUGCUUUCAGCCCAACAAUGUGUAACUUGUACAUUAGUUUCGUAU